GGUCAGGAUUAUAUCGAUAGCCCUUGAGGUCGCAAUGCAUCGGCUCCUCUACCAAGCUCCCUCCACGGUUGGCUGAGUUUUCCUGCAAAGCCAAGAAACUGUCAUGGUUACCGUCACCGAAACAGUCCUCCAAGAGACUACGAAUCUCGGCAGGACCAAAUCCACACCCCUCAAGGUCACAGUGCAUCGGCUCCUCUGCCAAGCUUCCUCCGCCGAUGCCUGGGUUCUUCGGAAAAAUGAAGAAACUGUCAAGGUCACCAUCGCCGAUGCAGUCCUUAAACGGACUAAGAAAUUCAUCAGGAUAAAAUCCACACCCCUCAAGGUCGCGGAGCAUCGGCUCCUCUCCCGAGCUUCCACCCCCCAUGGCCGAGUUCUCCGGUAUAGUCGAGAAACUGUCAUGGUGGCCGUCACCGAUGCAGUCCCCGGACACACUAAGGAAGUUGUCCGGAUUACAUCCACGCCCCCCAAGAUGGGAGCAGGUGGGGGUGGAGUCCGCUCCCAAACCCCCACCGCCGCCGGCCGACUUCUCCGGCGAAGUCAAGAAAGGGACACACUAAGGAAAUUGCGGGAUUCUUGGGUUUCCGAGAGAGAGCUUUCGUGGGUUUUUCUGGGUUUCUUGUAGAGAGAGAGAGAGAGAGAUGAAGUUUGAAGUUGCAGAGGAGGCGGGCGGGGUAAAGGAGCCGAACGGGAAGAUCUACUUAUAUAGCCAUCGUGGGGCCCCUUUGAGAACUUUCUGAAUUCCGAUUUUCGGUCCUCUAAGUUUCUGUUGAUUUUCAAAUUGGCCCCAUGAACAGUUUAUUUGUCCAGUGGAUUGCUUUUACCAUUGACACGGUGUGAUAAUUAAUUGAAUUAGAUAAGGGAAGAUGUCGCUUUAAAUUAUAAAUUUUAAUUUUUAAAUUAGAUAAGUAAAGACAUCGCUUUAAAUUAUGAAAUUUAAUUUAACAUGAGAUAAGGAAAAAAAAGGAAAAAAAAUACAUCGAGAGGUUAACCGAGAGAAGCUUGUUGCCACGAAUUUUUCAUUGAAGGUCUUUAAAAACAAGUUUUUUUCCAUUUGAUAACAUUUAUUCUAUAAUUUUUUUUUCUUUUUUCUCUCUUCGAAUACUUGAAAACAGAAAAAAAAAAAAAAAGAAGAAAGAAGAAUAAGCUAUAUUGUAAGUAAUUUCUUAAGUUGCAACAUUUGAUUAAAGGAAUUUUUUUUUUUUUUAAGAUAAGGACACUUUAACUUAAAAUAUAAUACCUCUUUACCAAAAAAAAAAAAAACUUAAAAUAUAAUACCCGAUUGGAAUAUUUGCUCAAAUGUAUAGACUACAACAAUGCGUAAUACUAUAUUUUUCCUCCUCUCAUGGAUCAAUAUGCAAUGUUAGGCAUCAAUGCAGUAAACAAAGUAGACAAAGCCACCUAAAUCUCUAAAUAUUAUGUAAAAUUAAAUUCAUAUUAAAAACAUAAAAAGAAAUAACGGCCUCAUCUGAUUGGAAUAAAAAAUAUUACAUUAUACAGUUACAUUACAAUCCAACAAAAAUAAUUGACACCAAAUAAUUAUGUGUAUCGUUUAAGUGCUAUAUUGACCUAAUUUUGCAGUAAAUUGGCCCAUGGCUCUCUCCGUAUAUUCAGUCAAUCCUGUGGCUUCUACGUACAAAGACCUCCCCAAAAGUCAUUCAAAAAGAUCUUUUCUUUUUAUUUCCUUGAUAUUUCUGUGGUGAAAGAACAAAGGUCUUUGAUAGUUAAGACCCGCAUCUCAUAUGAAAAGACUUUCUUUUCCUUUAAAAAGAGAGGAGUUAAGGCGAUGGGAUCCCCCCUAUUUUCUCUUCUUCCUAGAGCUUAUGAGCUGUAUAGGAAGACACUUAAUUUCAAUUUGAAUGCAAAGAGUCUUAUUUAAAAUAAAAUAAAAAUCUGCAACGAUACCUUUGGAGUUUCGUUUUACUAAAACAAAGUUUAGUGGAGUUUAAUUAAAGUUAAAGCUAUCGGAGAACAAAUUUGAUCUCCAUUGGUCUCGAAUCGAUGAAUUUGACACUUCCCAAGAGUCUUGUUUGACUCAUUGAGUCAAUCGCAAUUAAUUGCUUCAAUUUUAAAUUUUCCUUUUGUCAAAUUUGGAUGAACGUAUGAAAAGAUUUAAGAGCUUAUGAAUUUUGGAACCAAACAAUUUACACCUUUGGAUCUUGCAGGAUUUUAUUUUGCCUCCUUGGCUGCCCCGCCAUGUGUUUAUUAAAUGUCGUCCUUAUCAAAUACAAAUUGGUUCAUUUAGUCCACAUCGUACCCAUCGAAAUCUGAACGUCUUGGUGGUGUUGGAGCAUUCGCAUCGAUCGUGCACUCCCCGGCAAUUUUGAGGAGGUCAGCUCGUCAAUCACCUGGAAUGACCAUGGCCAUGGGCAUGGGUUAGGGUUUUGGAGGCGUGUGAGCAAAGAGCAGUGACAACGAGGGGAAAAUCAAGGAUUUGGAGCAAAGGAAGAAACGUGUGAAAAGGUCAAGGAACGAUGGGGAAGAAGUUGUCGUGGGGGUUUAAACGAAGUUUACGUAGAAGAGAAACUAAAUAAAAGGAAAGAUAAAAUUCUAAACCUGGCCAUGUUGAAUACUCUCGUCUCUUCAUCCAAGAAAAGAGAGACCCAUCAUAUGCUUUCUUCUCCCGAAAAGGAGUAAGAUCAGAUGUGAAAUGCUAAAAUCAAGGUGGACGAAUGUGAGUCUUAAGCGCGAAGCGAAAAAGGAUAAAAAGCAAAGCAAUAAUUUGUAUUCCAUCCCACUUUUCCUUUGAAGUUUGAAGUGUAGCUAGUUUCUUUUGCAAGAAAGACCACGAAGUGAAUUAUCUCACUUAUUCACUUCUCAGACCCUAAAAGUUGCUAAGUUCAGUUUUCUUUCAAAAGCUUAAACUUUGACUCUAGAAUUGCAAAGUUGAGAUUUUUAAGUUCGUCACUGUCUGAGCAAGACGCCAAUUCAUCUCAUAACAUACUUUGAUGGGACAUAUUUUUGGUUACCAUAUAAGUUUGGGAUUUUGAUGAUAAACGUACACUUUGGAUAAUUGGUAAUAUGGUAAAUAUAAAGGUCAUGAUUUUUUAUGGAAUCGCACACUCAAUGUUGUCGAAUUUGCUGCCCACCCAUUGCCAUCACUAGCCCUCAACUUCAUGCAUCGAAUAGCUUAUAUACUACUUUUAGCCCAUGGUAAACAUUUUUAUGGAUCGAAUAGCUUUACGUGAUUCAAACAUUGGAAAUUACAGAAACCAAUUUCCCAAAUAUGAUUUUUUUUUAAUCAAACUUUAGAAGGAAGAUCAUGAGGGGCAAUUCCAUUUUUUUUUUUCAUUUUUUGAGAAAAGUACUACCCUCCGGAACAAAAUUGUAUGAGUGUCUACACGACAACGUUGUUGAUGAAUCCAAACCAAAAAAAGAAGACAUUGAUAAAUGUCAGAUUUGUUUGCCAACAAACCAUAUAAUUGAUGCCAAUAAAGAGAUCCAAAGUGAACAAUCAUAUCCCUUCAUAUAAUUGAUGCCAAACUCAUUGAUUUUCCAAGACUUGGACAUAGUAUUGAUGAAAAGAAUCUUUAAUACCGCCGCCCUAAAAAUAGAAGCACUCCCAACAAGUAAACCGAGUGAUUGAAUCCCAUUAUCUGACGAAAUCAACUCAAUGAUGUAAGUUUAACAAUUACUCUCAUGAUGCAGAAAAGGAAUCGGAUCUAGUCGUGCAAAGAGGUAGCAGCACGACCACAACAUCAGUAAUAAUUAGGGUACUGAUACAUCAAUGAGGUCUACCCUUACCGGGUCUUUACUAAACUUUUUUUUUCCUUUUUACAGAUAAAGUAUGAAUUAGAUAGUAAAUCUCUCAAUAAUAAAUAGAUAAUAGGAAAUACGAUUCUCCAAUUUCUUUUUGAAUUCACAUAUGGCAUUUUUGUGUUAUUUUUUUUCAGUUACUAAUUCAAUUCUACUACCUUUUUAUAUUAUCGCAGAAGUUUUAUCACAUAAUUUGUUUUACCGUUGUAUCAUUUACAUGAAGAUUCAAAAUACGAUCUAACUAAAUGGAAUAAAUCAAAUCUCACUAAAUCCAAAUGUUAAACAGAAAAUGGAAUAGCCAGAUUAGAAUCUGACUUGACAUUCUAGAAAAACAGGAAUUCUUUCUAAUUAUUUUUUAACUACUAACUAAAACGUGUAAUGUAUUUCUAGCUGAUAUCUCCUUCUGUUUUCCUUUCUUGCCGACUAGCUCUAUACGUAAGGACCGGGUCGUGAUGGUCUGAAUGCUUCGCCGGGGAGUCUCGACUAAAAGCAGCCUCCCUUCGGCCGGGAUUCUCUUGCUUUUUAACCUUUUGCUUUUCACGCUAAAUCUUUGCUGAAGAUAUGGUCAUUCAUCAUGAGGGUGUGCUGCAAUUUCUCCGCUGCCGUGUCCUUCUUGACCACGUUCUUCUCCUCAUCAGAGCAAUCCACCGAAGCCCACCGAGAAUUCCACUUGCGCUAUUCUUUUAUUUUUUGUCUUUUUUUAAACUUUAUCUGCUUUCGGUUACUCAUGGCCCGGCCAUGUCCCCUCGUCCUUAUCUUGGUGUUCAGUUAGUCAACACGUUUCCACCGUAUCGUGUCCCACCAGAUUUUGCUCUCCAUUUUUGCAGAAUUUCAGCUCUCCCUUCCUGUUCCUUCGUGUGUUUUCACACUGCUAUUUCCCUUCCUUCGCACUCGCAUGAAUGCCGUAUCGAAAGUGGCCUCAAGUCAACCAUUUCGGUUCACAAAAAUUCGCAAUUUUAUUGGAAAGGGUCUGUAAUUUUAAAUGCGAAAGAAUGCAAUAGAGAUCAAGAAUGCAUGAUUACAAAUGUUUUUUUUUUAGUAAGGGGUCAAAUUAUCAAUGAUUUUUUUUUUUUUUGGUAACCAAGGAUCCGCCGGGCCUGCCAAGCAGCCCAUGGCCUGUAGAGUGCGUGAUGCACCUAGGACCAAGUGUCAAUACUUCAUGGACUGGCUUAGUAAUCCACUCUUGAGACCCCCACUUAAGUCAUGUUAGCAACGGGAGGGCUCGAAUUCUCGACCUCGGCAAUGGAUGAGAGAAUGCACAUCAACUGAGCUAUCCAUGUGUGGGUAAUUAUCAAUGAAUUUGAUUGCUGAAUUUCAUGAGAAUGCAGAUAGGACCUUUAGGCGAAAAUCUGUGUCAACAAUAAUUUUCCUCAAGUUAAUUAAUGGAGACCGAAACAUCACUGGAUUAGAAGGGCAAAGUCAAAGUCUACAAAGACUUGGACUACCAACCGUCCAUGGUGACCCAACUUUGCUCUGAGAAGGAUUCACAUCCAUGAAUGAGCCAAGUCUCUGAAGACUUGGACGACCAAAGGCACACGCUAAGGCAUUGGCGGGUCUUCUUUUCCACAUUAGGAAUUUUUUUUUUUUGACAAAUUCCACAUUAGGAUUAACCCAUCUUCUUUUUCUUUGCUUUUAUUGCUUUAUUUCUUUUCAUUAUCACUCUGCUUUUUUGACGAGAUUUUCCUUGGAUUCUCGCCGUGAAUGAUGGUUGUGGUACCGGUGGGUCAAUUACCUUGAUAGUUGAUUGAUAGGCGGCCACCAUUUGAUCAAUAAUUCUUUUUCUUUUCUUUUUUUCGCACAACAGCACUACUCUUUGAGGAUACAUAUGAGUUGGGGCUUCUAUAAGAGGGCAAGAGCCUCAACCCUGAACGCAGAAGGCGCCGCUUACUGCUCGCACCACUCCGUCCACCAACCUCCCGGCGGAAUCACGACGGACGCAAGUGAUCGAGCCUCCAGUAGGUCCAGGUUCGUAGGCACCGUCUAUGUUUAUCUUUAGUGUUCCAGCCUACGGUGGGUUCCAAAAUCGUGACGAUCCGUCGCUGGUCUUACUAGAUUCGCUCGAUUUUGGGUUCCAUCUGUUGAAACUCUUCAACUAAAGCAAACUCCACAAGGUUGCUUGGUUUUGGUUUUCUAUUCUUGAAGAUGGCCUGGUUUCUUGACUUCCAAAUAUUCCACAGUACUUUAGUAAUCGUCUGAUUCGAGACUUGGCUUCUUGCAUCCUGAUCUUGAGCUCUCUAGCUCUCAUCUCUGCUAUUCUUCCAUUCACCAGUGUAAAAUAUUCGUAAAUUACCAAGAUUAUCUAAAUUUUACCGACAUUCCAAUGAAGUAGUAAAUUAACUCACUUGAAAAUUUUCAUCAUUGUUGUAAGUAAAGUACCGACAUCUUUAGAAAUUUACCAACAUGCCAAUAAAGUAGUAAAUUACUGACUCCUACAAAAUUUUACGAGUGUGGUAAGUAUAUUACCGACACAGUCUAAGAAUUUACAAACACUACAUGGAAGUAUUAAAUUACCCACUCUCAAAUUUUACCAGUGUUAAUAAAUUACUAGCAAUAUCAAGAAUUCACUGACAUAAGAGUCAAGUGGUUAACUACCAACUCUUAUUACCAAAAUCAUAAAUAAAUUACUGGCACAUACAAGAAUUUAACAACAUUUUAAUGAAUUAAUAUAUUACCAACUCCUCUGAAAUUUACUUACCAGCACUAUAAAAAAAAUAUACCAAUAUAUUAAUGAAGGAGUUAACCCACUCCAAAGAAAUUUUAUCCAUGUGGUCAGUAGAUUGCCAACUCUUAUCAUCCAUUGAUUCUACACUUUAUCUUAAGAUGAAAUUGAAAGCAACAGGAUCCUUGAAUCACUUGAGGUGAUCAAAUCAUAAAGGUGGAGUCAUGGAGGCUAGAUUUAAACUACUUAAACUCAUACCCUUGUUCAAAUCCGAUUCAAACGUCGAGCUAUACUUGAAGUAGUGGCUACAAUAUUGGCUUAAUUUUUAUUUUAACACAUCAAAUGAAUAGCAGUGUAUCGGUAUUUUACCUUCAACUCGGAAUUCCUAUAGACUAACGGUCUCACCAUGUCCUUGGCAGAAAAAAUUUUGACACUCUUAGUAUAUUGGAAAGUGGAGGGGCACAUCUCUAGAACCAAUACAAAACAAAACUAACUUUCGAGCUUAGAUAUGGGUGGACUCUUUUCCUUUUGUUCUUUCUCAUAAUCGUAGUCUAUGAAGUUGGAGCCCAAUGCUAAUACAAGAAUCAUUCAAUGUGGAUAUCUUUAUUUUUUAGAUUCCUGACAAUGUGGCAUGUGCCUAUCCUAAUUUUAUAGAGUAAUUAUAGGGGAAGCUAAUACUCUAUGUCCAUUCUUCCCUAAAUAGAGCAAACUCUCAACCACCAUAAUUAGAUUAUUAAACAAACAAAUUAUAUCGGAAGUAUCAAUGAAGUUGCUGUUGAACCUUAUAUAAUGCAUUGGAUGUUGAAUAACAGAGAACCAUAUUAUUAUUUGGUUGUACAUUAUAUAAGUUCCAAACCUUAUAUUUUGUUAACUUUGUCAAUUGGUUGUACAUUAUAUAAGUUCCAAACCUUAUAUUUUGUUAACUUUGUCAAUGUCCGAUCAUGUUGCAAUAUCAUUUCGAAAUAGUACCACUAUGUCGUCUCGUGUGGCAUAUUUAGUCAUCUCGGAGCUUCUAAUUGGUGUCUCACAGUCAAGUAUAUUAACAAGUACAACGCUCCAUCAAUACAAAUAAUUAUCAAUAUCACUAGUAAACAAAUGCACACAAUCAUCCGGCACACAUAUAGUAGCAUAAAAUAUGUUUGUAUGUUACUCACAAAUAGAUGCAGAAACGAUGUUAAUAAUCUACUAAAAAUUUAGGGAAAUGAUUUUUUUUUUUUGAGGAAGUUACAAAUAUUAACUGGUGUCACUAGUAAAACAUAUGUAAGGAACUCGUAAUCAACUAGAGGAAAAACACAAAAAUGACUAUUCUUAAUAUUUCAAGCAAGUAAAUCAAUUGUUUCGUUUGCAUGUUACUAACAAUAAAAUUGCAACUCAUAAAAUUGAAACAAGGUUAAUAAUAUAGUAAGGAUUUAUACUUGUAAAAUAGUUAUUUUUUUGUAAUUUACUACCGUCCACCAAGACUACUAACAAAGUAUGCAAGCAACUCAUAGUUUACUACCAAAAAUCCUCGCCCACUUAUAAAAGCAAACAAUUGCUCGUAAGGUACAGGAGUAUUUUCCAUAUGGUAAAUCGAUUAUUCCGUUUACGUAGUAUUUACAGAUGAACACUGCUACUCAUAAAUUCGAAACAGUGUUAACACUAUAGUUGGAUUUAGAGGGGUAAAAUACUAUUUUGUUUGUAAGUUGGAACAUCAAUCGGGACUAUUAAUAAAAUAUAUAAGCAUUUAUAAUCAACGAGUGAAAAUUGCUAACCCAUUUGCAAAAUCUAAAAGAAAAAAAAUGGUAAUCUACUAUUUGGUUUGAGGAUGAAAAAACUUCUUCUUCUUUUUUAAUAACUUUCUAACAAUAGAUCAGACUCACAAGUUAUCAGUUAAUUUUUACUUACAAGUGGUACUUCAAGUUUAUAAUUUGUUCUUUAAAUCUAGCAUGCAUGAAUCAAAACUUCAUUUUUGGUUUACGGAAUUUUAGAACGUGUAAGAUUUCAACUACAACUAUCUCAUCUCAUGAAUAGCUUUGGUUAAUUUUUUGAUCCAUUUUAGAGAGAGCAGCGGUCAUAUUUGCCAAAGUGACAUUAAGAAGAAACAAUUGAUGUUGUAGAAAUUUGAGCAGUGUGGAACUCUUCUUUUUAAAAAGAAUGCUCCGCGUUGUGUUAUGUCAAAUGAGGACAUGUUAAUGUUCUCCCUUUGAGAUUUAAAACUCAUGGGGAAUAAUUAUGUUCUCAAGAUUUGAGAAGAGUGAACCGUUUUUUUCUUUAAAAAAAAAAAAUGAAAACUCAGCACUCUUCUAUGUUAAUGUUCUCCUUAGGAGAUUAAAUUCCCUUAAGAUGUUAAAACUCCCCUUGAGAUUUAAUACUCCUAUGUUCACGUGCAUUGUCGACUUAGGCAAGCUGGAGUGAUGUUGCAAUAGCUAAUCCAGGCUACUAAGUUUAGUGACCUACAUAGAUUUCCAUUUGUGAGUCGGGCUUCUAUACAUUUUCCAUCUCUAGCUCCCACUACUUUUGCUGAUAUAAUGUUUGGUAUUUCUUGAAGAUCAAAUUGAGUGAAAUCAAUGGAGGGGAGUGUAGAAACACAACAUACCUGGCAAAAUGAUGGAAUAGCAGGGAGCGCUUCUUUUACUCACACUACAACAGAAGGCCAGGGAAUGGUCAAUUCAUCAAGACACGAAUACGAAGUAUUCUUGAGUUUUAGAGGAAAAGAUACUCGAAUAAGUUUUACCAGCUUCCUUCAUACUAGUAUGAUGAAUGCAGGAAUCCGCGUCUAUAAGGAUGAUAGAGAAGUCCCCAAGGGGAAAAAAUUUGGCCCGGAACUUCUCCAAGCAAUUAAUCAAUCGAAGAUCUCAAUACCUAUAUUUUCAAAAGGUUAUGCCUUUAGCGUAUGGUGUCUCAAUGAGCUAGUCCAGAUGGUCGAGUGCCAAAAAACUAGGGGACAAAUGAUUAUGCCAAUUUUUUAUGAUGUGGCACCUUCAGAGGUUCGACACCAAACCGGGGGUUAUGGAAAGGCCUUUCUUUCACAUGAACAGAAAAAACGAUAUGAUGAAGAGACUAUGCGUCAGUGGAAGGCUGCUCUCAGUGCAGUUGGGGCAAUACAUGGGUGGGACUUGCACAACAUGCCCAACAGGUGACUACCUCUAUCAUUCCAUUUGAUGUGCCUAGUACCAUUAAAACUUUUAAUGUGGUUCAAAAUUGGUUUCUUUUCUAGAUUUGUGUGAUCCUCGUUGAAAUUUAAUUUUAUGCUAUUGAAAUUAUACUACAAAAAUCACAUAAAAUAAUGGUACAAUCCCAAUUUUUUCCCUUUUCAUUCCAAACAAUUUUUUUUUUUCAAUUUAGGUCAUUCAUUAAUCAUAUGUGCCAAUGCUAAUUCAUCUACAAUGGAGUAAAUCCUUACAAAAUGCAUUUCGAAUAGGUCUCUAGUUUUUACUUUGUUCUUGUCAGAAUAUAGUUUGGUUCAACACAAUUUUCUAACUCAUUGCCAUUUGACCUCCAACAAACACUAGGGAAGAAGGUGAGAUCACAAAUACAGUAACCCAAAAGGUUUUCAAUGAGUUGAAGAAGGCUUAUCUGGUGGUAUCAGAUUACUUGGUCAAUGUCGACAACCAUGUGGGUGCAAUCAUGGAAAUGAUAGGUGCUCAAACAAGUGAAACACGCAUCAUAGGAAUCUAUGGGAUGGGUGGUAUUGGAAAGACGACUAUUGCCAAAAUCAUCUACAAUCAACUUUCACAUGGAUUUGAGAAUUGUUGCUUUCUUCCCGAUAUCCAAGAAAUGUCAAAAGGUAACCGCAUUCCAUCCUUGCAGAAUCAGCUCAUCAACGACAUCCUAAAAAAAAAAUGGACAGACAUAAAAAACAUUGACGAUGGGAUUCAGGCAAUUAAAAAUAGGUUGUCUAAUAAGAGAGUUCUCCUUCUUCUUGAUGAUGUGGAAAAAGUUGAUCAUAUGCGUGCACUUGUAGGUAAGGGGAGUAAACUCAUAAUUACUACGAGAAACCAAGAUGUUCUCAUUGUUCCUGAAGACUCCACUUAUGAGGUUAAUGGUAUGGAUGAUUAUCAAUCUCUUCAACUUUUUAGCAAACAGGCCUUCAGAAGAGAUUCUCCUAUAGACGAAUAUAUCGACCUAUCCAAGAGGGCAGUACACAUUGCUGGAGGUCUUCCAUUAGCCCUUGAGGUCAUAGGUUCACUUUUAUCCGGCAAAAAUAAGGAAUGUGGGAUGCCACAUUGAAGAAGCUAGAAAGUGUUCCUCAUGAUAAAGUUCAGAGUAAGCUGAAAAUAAGUUAUGAUGCAUUAAAUAAUCGGCAGCGGCAUAUAUUCCUUGAUAUUGCUUGUCUAUUCAUUGGAUGUCUCAAAGACAUUGUGUUUUAUUUCUGGGAUGCAUCUAAACUUUUUCCGGAAGUAGACGUUGAAGUUUUGCAGAACAUGUCUUUAAUAAAGAUUGGAGAAGAUAAUAUAUUGUGGAUGCAUGAUCAACUCAGAGACCUUGGAAGAGAAAUAGUUCGUGAAGAAAGUGAGAUGAAUAUAGAGGAGCAACGUUGCGUGUGGAAUCCGGAGGAUGGAUUAAAUCUGCUAAGGAUACAUGAGGUAAAAUGCUUUGUGCAAUAGAUCUCCAAAUUAUUUAUAGACAUUUUCUUUUCCAAAAAAAGUAGUUACUUUUUGUGUUCUGUAGCACCAUCGCGACCUACUCAACCGAUAGUUUUGGUCUUUUAAGAUUUUAAAGGAAUGAUAAUAGUCAACUCCAACCCUUAAAAUAGUGAACUUGAAGAAAUGUGUUUCCUUUCAACUUUUUUGUUUAAAAUUUUUUCCUUUGGGCAGGAAAAGAAAAAAGUUGAAGCUCUUCGUCUCAAGUUUGAUGAUCAGCACCGUUUUACCUAUGACGACUUUAAGAGCCUGCCAUAUCUAACGUUCCUUGAAGUAGACGACUUGAAGGAAAAUUUUCGUGGAGAAAAGAUGCUUCGUUGGCUCAAAUGGCCAUCAUAUGCUCUUCCAACUAAUAUUUUCCAGAGGAAUUCAAAUCUCCUUCCACGAUUACGAUGGCUUUCUUGGCAUAAUAUUAGCCCAACAUUUAAGAUUGCAAAUUUCUCCGUAGAGAAUUUGAUUAUCCUUGAUCUAUCUCAGAGUGAAAUCACUCGUGAUUGGAAGGGGUGGAGCCACAUGAAGGUAUGUUAUAUGCUAGAGAACAUUUAUUCUUCCGUUUUAUUAGAUUCAAAAGUGAACUUUGCAUGAUUUUUCUUUCACAGGUGAUUAAGAAUUUGAAAGUUCUAAAUCUGGCCAAUUGUCGAUGCUUGAAGAGAACCCCUAACUUCUCAACUCAUUCAAAUUUAGAACGUUUGAUCCUAUCAAAGUGUUACUCAUUAAUCGAAAUUGAUAGAUCGAUUUGUCAGUUGAAACGCUUGGUUUUCUUAGAUGUAAGCGGUUGUUGGGGUCUUCAGAGGCUGCCAAAUGAGCUGGGGGAUCUUGCAAGCCUCAAAUACCUAUCUCUAAGUGGUUGCAGGGGAUUGAAGAGGCUUCCAAAUGAGCUGGGAGAUCUUGCAAGCCUCAAAUACCUAUCUCUAAGUUGUUGCAGGGGAUUGAAGAGGCUUCUGGAGACAAUCAGGAAUUUGGAAUCGCUGAUUGAGUUGAACAUGAGUGGCCUGACAAUCAAAGAACUACCCGAUUCCAUCAAAAAGUUGAAGAAUUUGAAAAUAGUGAAUAUGAAAAAUGUUUACAUAAGCAAAAUACAUGAUACCUUUUGGACAAUAGAGAAGCUUGAAAUAAUAGAACUCAGCUACAUUAAUUAUGAUGACAAGCACGUGGCAAUUGGUGAUUGCAUAUAUGAGAAUAAAUCCUUGAGGAUCUUGAGAUUGUCAAUGGCGGAGAGAAUACACGCCCCACCAAGGCUCCCUGAAAGUCUUUUGGAAUUAGAACUGAAGUGGUUGAGGGAGGGCCCAUUUCCGGAUCUCUCAAAUCUCGCUAACUUAAAGGUAUUGGAUCUGACCUUUGGCCCACCUAAUUCUGAUGGGAAAUAUUAUGGGCUUCUGGAAGAACCGAUACCACCGUGGAUUGGGAACUUAACCAAAUUGGAAUCUCUGAAAAUCUGCUUUCCCUGGAUGUUCGCCUCAUCGAGAAACCUCAGCCUCCCUCCUCAUCCGCGUCGCCUCCCGAGGCUUCCCUCAAAUUUAUCCUCCUUAACUUUCGAUGGUUGCCUGUCACUUUGCUCGAUGGAUCUAUCGAAUUUGAGGAAACUAUCGUCUCUCGACAUUUCGAGGUCUGCAGUUGCAGAGAUUGAAGGCCUUGGUUGUUUGGAGAACCUACGAGAUUUCAGCCUUUGGUCCGUCGUACAGCUGGUGAUGCUACCUGAUCUAAGCAAGUUAAACAAGCUAAGGCUUAUUGCAGUACAGGCGUGCGAUAAUCUGGUUGAGAUUCAAGGCGAAGUACCGCGGUUUUUGGAUCAUCUUAAAAUUGAUUACUGCCGUUCGUUACGGGAGUUCCCCGAUCUGUUCAGCUUAAUGGGUAAGAAAGAUGUUUGUAUGCAUAUUCUCGAUCAGGUGUUUUAUUAUACAGAUGGACAUCGAUUGCUGGUUUGUGGCUUUAAACAGAUGCAGAUCCCUGAUCUAAGCAAUUGUAACGGACUAACAAUUCUUACAGUAGAAUCUUGUCAUAAUCUGGUUGAGAUUCAAGGCGAACUACCCCAAUCUUUGGAAGAAUUGUACAUUAAAUCUUGUGAAUCUUUACAGAAGUUACCUGAUCUGUCAAGCUUGACGGGACUGAGAAAGGUUACAAUAAGACGUUGUGGGAAAUUAGCGGUGGAGGAAAUUUCUCGGCUUUGCUCGGAGAAGUCAAUCGAAUUUGUGGGAGAAGACGAUGAAGAAGACGAAUCUGUGGAAGAAGACGAUGAAGAAGACGAAUCUGAUGAAGAAGACGAUGAAGAAGAUGAAUGAGUGCACGUUGCACUUGGAAGCUUUUUGAUGCGCGACCGCAAAUUGUUCCCUUGUGUUCAAACCUUAAACAAAUUGAGGUAAGUACCAAUGUUUUCCUGUUUUUGGCAAUCAAAUUCUUUCACAUAUAUGAACAGAGAAGUUUUGCAUGCACUUUUUAACGACCUUUUAGCGGAUUCUUGUCUGAAAAUCUGAUGAAGGUAUUUAAAUUAUGAUGCCUCCGAACAGCCAGAGGGCUCUUAAUUAUGUACAAGUUUUUGUGUUCUUUUCCUAGUUUGGUUUGGCUUUUUUAGCUACAUUUUCUUAGGAUGGUUUCUCCUAGAGGUAUGCAUGUCGAUUGCAUCAUUUUUAUUUGAUACGUAACAAAUUAUUAGAGAUCGUUGUUGAUUUGCUGCUUCACACAUAUUUUGAAAUUGAUAACCUCACUUCACAUGGGAGAUAAAUUCACUAUGCUGUAAACAAAUAGAUGGAAUGUGUGUUGGAAGGUUAUACAACUAUGGUUCUCAUCCUGGGACUUUACAGCACAAUCAACUCAUUGUUGCGACUUUGAAGUAGACAGAUACUCUGUAUUGCCAUGCUUAAGUUCAGUUUAUUUUCAGGAAAUGUGUGCUUCUUAGUGGGAUUUGCAAAUGUUAUGGAGAAGUCAUAAAUGAGGGAGCCACUGCAAUUCUGAGACUACCAGUGUGGCAGCACUGGCUAAAGCAAUAGCACCAGAAUAUUUUAUCUCAGCAAUGAUGCCUUCGAUCAUAGCAAUCUUUGACGGGCACACUGACAAAAAUCAUUCUGUGCAGCAAACGUCGCCUAUAGGCGUAACUGAGAGAAUACAGCAUUCGCUGUACCAGUAGAGAAGGAGCGCCCUUUUGCUGAGACUUGAGAAUUGCACUCACUUACAAAAGAUUGGUAAGAAAAAGAGAGCACCUUCCCUUGGGGCUGCCUUCAGUUAAAAAUUGUUCCCCGGAAUAAAAACAUUUUUUUUUUAUUUCUGUCCCUGGAAUAAUUUUUGAAUAGAAACGUUACCAAACGCGCCAUAAAACUCCUACGAUCAUCAUUGAGACUAGGGCAAAGAAUCUGUACAUGAAUAAAGCAUGAGAGCAUUGAAUCCCCAAAAGUAUAUUUAUUAAACUCCCAAAUCUAUAUCGAGAGAUUUUUUGAGGAACGGAGAAAGGCCCUCAUCCCAGUUGAUCAUUAAAAUUAAUACCAUAAAGAAAAGGAUAAAUAAAUUCCUUGCCAAGAGGGCAUUUGGGUAUUUUGACAGCACCAAAAAGACAAAACGCAAUUGAUAGGGGAGAAAGGAGAGGAGGAGAGGGAAAAGGACAAGGGGCCAUGAUUAUGGCGGAUGGAACGUAGGCCUAUCAACUAUUGGUGGUUACAUGACUCACAUGGCAAAUGGAACGUAGACCUGUCAACUGUCGGUGGUCACAUGACUCACAUGAGGGGACUAAUGAUAUCGAGUGCAGUGGAGCGGGAGCCAAUUGAUAGGAAGAAGAUGCUAAAUCAAUCCGGGGUCAUGCGUACCAAUGGAUGAGAUGGAACGUAUGGAGAAUUCACAUGAUCCAUCUGUGCAUGAGUCGAGUUCACAUGCCCUGGUGCUCAAGCGGGCAAGACCUGCUCGAAGAAUAGGGAGGAAGUGAAGAGAGGUGUAAUCCAGUCCAUAUGCCGGAUUUGGUAGGGCAACCCCGAAAUCAUGGAUUUUUAGCCCAUGCGUCCCCAUUGAAAUUGCCAUAUUUUCCCAACUUCCUUUGUAUUUUUGAGGUUUGGAGAGCACGAAAAACAGACGGGGCGUUUUCUUCAAAAUAGACUUGAUACUUUUUCCCCGAUUGGGACACACCCCUGUCCUGAAAGCGACACUACAACUAUGUUCAAGCAAAGCCACGAGUGGGUCCCCGUGCCCUGUCAUUCUUGUUAAUUUGUGGGCAAGGGCGGGGGCAUUUAUGGCGACACGGUGCUCUCGGAUGAUUCAAUGGAAGAAGGAAGACGCAUUGGACACCGUGCGGUUCUAUUUCAGGGUGAAAGCAAACUCUACUAAGACAAUAUCAUUAGAAUACGAACUGCCCCCGGCUCUCAGCAUAGUCAACAAAUCCUGUGUACUACUUUUAAUGACCCAUGGAGAUCUCCAUUUGUAAUUUUGGCUUCUAAAAGUGACUUAUAUUUCACAAUGUGCUGCAUUGAUUUUGCUGUUAUACAGUUAGACUUUUUUUCUCAGAGAGAAGAUCAAGAGAGAUCAAUGAAGAGGAGGCAAUGCUUUAUUUAUUCAGCAUAGAAUUGAUCGUUAUCCAGAUCGUGAAAAGCUUAUGAUAUUGUAAGGGCCAACUCUUUACAAGUGACUUUGGUUGGCUAAAGAAUGGUUGAAAGAAGUUGACUUUGGCUGUUUUGGUUUCUAUCGAGUCAAUAUCGUGAAACUUUAGUUGCGAAGUGGCUCCUUUCUCUCAUGAAACACAAAAUGUUUAGUAGCCUCGGAAUUGAUUUAGAAACUUGAAAAAUACUCGCAAAACAAAUACCAUAUGUUCAAAAGAACUUUUAUCUUUAAAUAAUCUAGCCAAUCGUAUUAUCAAUCAAUAGAAAAGUUGAUAACAUCUAAUUUAAUUGAAUGGAAAGAACAAAAGUGCCGUAUACAUAUAAUUUUGCCUUGCGUCAAAAUACUAUCAUUAGAUUUAAAAUCGCAUUAGCUACAACUCUCAGAAAGAGAAAAAAAGAAGAUAGAACAGCGUAUGGAGUGGUGCAAGAAGACGGAAGUGUCACGGGAUUAGAAGGGCAAAGUCAAAGUCAACGAAGACUUGGACUACCAAGAGUCCAUGAUGAACCAGCUUGCUCUGGAAGGAAUCACACCAAUGAUCCAUUUACUUGGCACUCUGUGCCUCCCAAUCAGACUUCCAUAAAUUUAGAGAUUUUAUUAUAAAAAUAUUUCACUAAGAUCAUUCUGUAAAAUCCUACACUUAUUCAUUAUUCUCUCAUUCAACCCCCAAUAAUCAUAUGACAACAAAUCGAUGUCCAAUUCUCAUAUCCAUUGAUAAUUCCAUCUUACUAUUUCUUUCAAUCGAAUAACAUCAUGUGAAAACAAACUCUUAGGUUGUGUUUAUCUCACUGAGAAUUUUUUUUUGUUGCGGGAAAAUGUUUUAGGAAAUUCAAUCUCAGAAAAAGUAAACACAAAAUUUUGAUUGUGCUGAAAACAAGUUGAAGAAAUUUAUUUUAUCAUAAUUGGUAAUCAGUGAAUUCAUUAAGGGUGGCUUGUAUAGUUAAAAGUAACAUGUGAUGACUAAUAAACUGGAUAUGAUAUCAUCACCGUUUAUUCUAUAAUCCACGAAAAUAACAACGAUUACAAAGAAAUUAGGACAAAAAUCAAGGAAAACAAAUCUUCUUGCUAAGUCAUUUUUCUCUAAGCUUAUUUAUUACUUUUUAGCCCAUGGUAAACGUUUUUAUGGAUCGAGUAGCUUUACAUGAUUCAAACACUGGAAAGUAAGGAAAGAAAUAUUCCAAAAGUGAUUUUUCAUCAAACAAAGAAGGAAGAUCGUGAGGGGCAAUUCCAGUUUUUUUUUUUUUUUUUUGGGGAAAAGUAUUACCCUUCGGCCCAAAAUUGUACGAGUGUUUGCACGCUAACAUUGUUGAUGAAUCCAUACCCAAAAAAGACAUUGAUAGAUGUUAAAUUGGUAUGACGAUAGACCAUAUAAUUGAUGCCAAUAAAGAGAUCCAAAGUGAACAAUCAUAUCCCUUCAUAUUCUUUCUUGUCUCGAAAAGGAGAAGAACAUAAGUGAAAUGCUAAAAAGAAGGUGGACGAAUGUAAGGUCUCAAGCGCAUAGAGAAAGAGGAAAAGGCAAAGCAAGAAUAUAUUCCAUUACACUUUUGUUAAAGUUAGCAUUAUGUUCAUUUCAUGAAAAAUGAAUGAUAAUCAUCGUUUAUAUUUCUUGAAAUAAUUAAUUAAUGAAUUUUUUUUACUAUCAAUAAUAAUUUAUGUCUAUAUAUUUUCAUAGAUAAUGAAAAUAUCUUUAAUUUAUUCAUUUUUAUGAAUGAUAUAAAAUGUUUUCCAAAUCGUUCAUUUUUUAUGAAAUAAAUGGAGAAUAAGUUGAAGCUCGUUUAUUUUGCAUAUUAGUUUCAAAUUAAGGUCGGAGCUCUUUCAGCUAAAAUAGAGAGGAAUCCGUCCCAUUUAUUAUUCAAAAAAACCGCAUCUCCAAAUUAUACCACUUCUUGGACCCUAAAAAUUGUGAGAGACAACUUGUUAUCAAGGAGGUAUAAUUUUUUAAAAACUUAUAACUUUGACAAGUGGUCUAAAGUCACUUUAGACCAUACUAAAAUCGCAUCAUAUCCACAUUGGCUCCAUUUGCCUAUCAAUGUCCAAGCAAGUGGUCACAUUGGAUUUUUAACGGCCGUCUUGAAUGGAACUGUGACGCAUAAUAUUUGCAAGUCACUGAUACAAGUUUAUAUAUAGUAUUAGUAACAAGUAAAAGAAUUGGGUUUCGUUGUCACACCAGGCAAGGUUUAGGCUUUUUGGUGGAAUUCUCCUGAGUCAUGUCUGCUUCAUUUGUCUACUGUUGUCCAGGCAAACAGGCACAUUAAAUCUUUAAUGACCAUCUUGGAUGGAGAGUACUUUUGGAUUUUUGAUACAAGUUUCGAUUUUUUAUGAUAUCAAAAAAAGUUAGAAUAAUUAGUGUCAUAGUUAAUAUAGUUUAGGAUUUUUACGUGUCGCCCACCCAUUGCCAUCACAAGCCCUCACCUUCAUGUGUGAAUCCACCGGCGACCUCAACUCCUCACCAAUUUGACUUGUUUGCUAUCCUUUGGUCUCUUUUUUUCUCCCCAUGGAACUCAACCUAUGUGUAGAAGUCGCGACAGACGGAGGUUGCUGGCCUCGCACGGCUGUGGUUGCAUGUGGCCACGGUAUCGGGGCUCGACUCAAUUAAUUUGCUCGAUUUUUUAAAUUUUAGAACUUUGUAAGAUUUCAAACUACAACCAUCCCAUCAAAUGAAUUGGGUUGGAUAAUGUUUUGAUCUGAUCUAGAGAGACUAAUUGUCCAUAUUUCUAGAAGUGACAUUAGGAAGAAAUUAUUUAUAUUAUAGAGAUUCAAAAAGAUUUGAACUUUUGUCUUUUUUUUUUUAAUUUUAUUUUAAGGGGAAUAAAAACUUUGCACUUACCAAAAAAAAAAAAAUUGCACUGUGCUGUGUCCAAUAUAAAUGCAAUCAUGUUGUUUGUUGAGAUGUAAGACCCUUCGGGAAUUAUUUAAGUUCGUGAGACUCGAGUCAAAUUUUUUUAACAAGAAAACUCUGCAUUGUGCUAUGUCCAUAUUUGUAGAAGUGACAUUUGGAAGGAUACUCCGCUAGCCAUGGUCUGUUUGCUAGUUUAACCUUCCAAUGACAUUCCACCACUUUAAUACUUCAGCUUACACUUGUUUGCAAGCACAGCUGAAGUAUUUUUUUAAAUACAUUGAUUUUUUUUUUUUUUUGGUAAUAUGAAAGCCUUGGGCAAGAAUUCAAACAGUCACCGAAGUGUAGGAUUCGUAAUUUAGUUUUGCUCAUCAAAUAAAAGGAUGUGAUCAAAUAUGAACUCGAAAAGGAGAGUGGAGGGCCAAAUCUCUAGAAUCAACCUUAGAAAGGGACAAUUUUCGUUCCCAAGAUAUGAGAAGAGACAACUUACAUCAAAGCGGAUGUGCUUGGUUGGUCUUGGAGACCAACUUAUGCAUCAUAGCACGUGAAACGUUGUUGCUACUAUUCUUUUUUUUCUUCCUCAAAGCUAGUGUAGUGUGAACAAUGUUUAGGAAAUGCCAGAUGAAAGAUGGAGGCCUUUUCCGAUGUGUAGAGAAUAAUCCUUCAGAACCUUUUAUGAAAUUGCAGUUGAAUAUUAUCUCCUCAGAAGGCAUUCAGAGGGGGGAAAAAUAGUGUGCACCAUACACUAUAGAGUGUGAAUCCCAACACUUGCCCAUUCGCUCCUUGAGAUUUUAAAGUGCCGCUUACUCCCUUAGUAGUACCGAAACGCGACACGACACAUCAAUAUGUCAUUUAUAAAAAAUAAGGAGUUUCGACAUGUUGGGAUACGUUAUAUAUUAAAUAAAUAUUUUUAUUUUUAAUUAAUUUGAUUCAAAUUCAUAAAUAAUUAAUUAAAAGAAGAGCAUACAAUGAAAAUACACUAAUAAUAUUAAUGAAUCAAUUCAUUGGAAAUUAGAAAGAUAUAUUCAUAAUUAAUAUGUAUCCAUAUUUGGAAAUAUAUUUUUAAUUUUAACCAAAAUUAUUGAUGAAAUCGAUAAUUAAUAAGAAAUUAGAAUCAACUUGUUUAAAUAAAUUCAUAAUCUUCAAAUUCAUAAUCUUCUACAAUGAUAAAAAUUUAUUAUCAUUUAAAAUUCAGUACUUUUAUUUUUUAGAAUUAUUUUUUAAUCUUAUUUAUUUAUUCGAUUAAAAAAAAUCUCCUUGAGGGGUCCAUCGCCAACCCCCACUCCUUUCUUUCUUUCGUAUAUUUCCCCCCGGCCCCAAAUUUAUUUCAAUUUUUUUUCCCACUCUUCCCCACGUCAGACCAUUUCCCCCCCCCCACCCCCAAAUUUAUUUAACUCUUUUUCCCAUCCCCCACCCACGUGACAGGCUGUCACUUCACCCCCCAUCCANNNNNNNNNNNNNNNNNNNNNNNNNNNNNNNNNNNNNNNNNNNNNNNNNNNNNNNNNNNNNNNNNNNNNNNNNNNNNNNNNNNNNNNNNNNNNNNNNNNNUGACAGGCUGUCACUUCACCCCCCAUCAGCCUCUCUUUUUUAUCCUUUUUGAGUUACCAAAACCCAAGCAAGCGCGUCCUUCUCCUCCUCCUCUCGCCGCUCGCCGCACCCGCACGACCCCCUUCCUCUCCUUUUCCUCUCGAUACUUCUCCUCCUCCUCGCCGCACGACCCCCUUCCUCUCCUCUUCCUCUCUAUCCUUCUCCUCCUCCGCCUCGUCGCCGAUCCGUCGCAGCGUCAGUGACCGCCCUCGCCUCAGUCUCUACUCUUUGUCUGGCGGUUUCUCGCCGUCGCGGGCUCGCCGUUGCUCGUUACUCCAUCCUGAUCUUUAAGUGCCGCCUCUCAUCUCUGCUAUUCCACCAUUCCCCUGUAUUUCUAUCUGAAAACCUUCUCUUUGCUAACUCACAAAAAGCUUGAGCACUUGCUGUUGCCUGUAUUGUGACAGUUGCUGCCAUAGCUCUCUCUGCCAUCCUGUUCAAAGGAUUCCUGAAGAAAAGAGCUGGUCAGACCGCUGUGGAGGGCAGUGCAGAUAAUAAUUCAGCUACACAGAAUGGUACCGUAGAGAGGGCUGCUCGUACUUGCACUACACCACAAGUUGAGGAAAUGGCAACAUCUUCCGGAUAUGACUAUGAAGUAUUCUUGAGUUUCAGAGGGCUUGACACACGAUCAGCUUUUACCGACUUCCUUUAUACUUAUCUUAUAGAUGCAGGAAUCCGCACAUUUAGGGACGAUGACGCGCUCCGUGUCGGCGAAGAGUUUGCCCCAGAACUUCUUGAAGCAAUCAAUCAGUCGAAGAUCUUAAUACCUAUCUUUUCAAAAGGUUAUGCCUCUAGCGUAUGGUGUCUCAGAGAGCUAGUUCAAAUGGUCAAGUGCCAGAAAAAUGAAGGACAAAAGAUCAUGCCCAUUUUUUAUGAUGUGACACCUUCGGAGGUUCGACACCAAACCGGGAGUUUUGAAAAUGCUUUUGUUUCACACAAAAGAAAGAAGCGAUAUGAUGAAAAGACUAUAGCAGAGUGGAAGGAUGCUCUCACUACAGUCGCGGAUAUAAAUGGAUGGGACCUGCAAAGCAUGCCCAACAGGUGACUACUUUUAGCAUUCCAUCUCAUGUGCCUUGUAUCGUUAAACUCGAUGCAUUUAAAUUGGUUUCUUUUCUAAAUUUGUGUUAGUCUUGUUGAAAUUGAAUUGUAUGCAAUUGAAAUUAUGCAGCAAAAUCAGGCUAAAUAAUAUCACAAUGUCAAUUUUUGUCCCAUUUCAUUCCCAGCAAGCAACAUUUUUCGUUAGUUCAGAUCAUUCAUUUACCCUAAGUUCCAGUGCUAGUUUAUCAAAAUGGUAUAAAUCGUUGAGGAACGCAUUUAUAAUAGGUCUGUAGUUUUCAAUUUGGUUUUGUCAGAGCAUAGUUUGGCUUAACUCAAUUUUCUAACUCAUUCCCUUUUGACUUUCAACAAACAAUAGGCGAGAAGGUCAGUUUGCAAAAGAAAUCACGCAGAAGGUUUUCAAUGAGUUGAAAAGGGCUUAUUUGGUAGUAUCAAAUUACUUGGUCAAUGUCGACAACCAUGUGGAUGCAAUCAUGGAAUUGAUAGGUCCUCAUACAAGUGGAACACGGAUUAUAGGAAUCUAUGGGAUGGGCGGCAUCGGGAAGACGACAAUUGCCAAAAUCAUCUAUAAUCAGCUUAUAGAAAAAUUUGAGUGCUAUUGCUUUCUGUCUGACAUCCGUGAAACGUCAGAACAACGCGGGGGCAUUGAAUCCUUGCAAAAUCAGCUCAUCUCCAGCAUUCUCAAAAAGAAAUGCACAGAUAUAAGAAACAUUGAUGAUGGGAUUAAUACCAUCAAAGACAGAUUGUCUAAUAAAAGAGUCCUCCUCCUUCUCGAUGAUGUGCAUAAAAAGAAGCAUAUGGAUGCACUUGCAGGUGAGUGUGAUUGGUUUGGUAAAGGGAGCCUACUUAUUAUUACUACUAGAAAAAAAGAAGUUCUUGAUGUUCUUAAAGUGGACGGCUGUUAUGAGCUUUCGGGCAUGGAUCACGAUCAAUCUCUUCAACUCUUUAGCAAACAUGCCUUUAGAAGAGAUCAUCCUUUGGACGAGUAUAUCGACCAAUCCGAGAGGGCGAUAAAAAUUGCUGGAGGUCUUCCACUAGCUCUUGAGGUCAUGGGUUCACGUUUAUCUUGCACUACUGAAAAGAAAAAGUGGGAUUUCGAAUUACGUAAGUGGGAAAGUGAUCCUCAUAAGGAUGUCCAGAGUAGAUUGAAAAUAAGUUAUGAUGAAUUAGAAGAAAAGGAAAAGCAAAAGUUCCUUGAUAUAGCUUGUCUCUUAAUUGGAUAUGAUAAAGACAUUGUAGUUCAUUUUUGGGAAUCUGAAUUCCAUCCGGAAUAUGCCAUGGAUGUUUUGGAGAACAUGUCUUUGGUAAAGAUUAAAGAGGAUAAUAAAGUGUGGAUGCACGACCAACUUAGAGACCUUGGAAGACAAAUAGUUUGUCAAGAAACCAAUAUAAAUAAACAAAGUAGGGUGUGGGAUCGUGAGAAAGCGUUGGAUUUGCUGAAGAGCCCUAAGGUAAAAUCCCCUGUGCAUUAAUUUCCAAGUUACUUAUGGACAUUUUUGCUUUUUUAAGAUUAAUGGACGGUAGUACUCAACUCAGUCCCUUAAAAUAGUGAAUUUGGCUAAAUGUGUUUCCCUUCAACUCUCUUGUUUUUAAAAAUUUUCCUUUGGGCAGAUGAAGAAAAAAGUUGAAGCUCUUCGCCUCCGCUUGGACCAUCAGCACCGUUUUACCUACAAGGACUUUAAGAGCCUAUCAAGGCUAAGGUUCCUUAAAGUUGAUGACUUGGAGCAAACUUUUUGUGUAGAAAAGAUGCUUCUUCAGCACAAAGGGCCAUCAAGUGUUCUUCCAAUUGAUGUUUUGGAUUCAAAUCUCCUUCCAGAAUUACGCUGGCUUUCUUGGCAUAAUAUUCACCCAACAUUUGAGAUUGCAAAUUUCUCCGUAGAGAAUUUGACUAUCCUAGAUCUAUCUCGGAGUGAAAUUACUCAUGAUUGGAAGGGGUGGAGCCACAUGAAGGUAUGUCAUAUGCUAGACGAUACUUGUUCUUCCAUCUCAUUAAAUUUGAAAGUAAUCUGUGCAUGAUUUUUCUUUCACAGGGGAUUAAGAAUUUGAAAGUUCUGAAUCUGGCCCAUUGCCAAUGCUUGGAGAGAACCCCCAACUUCUCAGCUCAUUCAAAUUUGGAAUAUUUGAUCCUAUCAUGGUGUAAAUCAUUAAUCGAAAUUGAUAGAUCGAUUUCCCAGUUGAAACACUUGGUUUUCUUAGAUGUAAGCAAUUGUGGGAGUCUUCAGAGGCUGCCGGAUGAGUUGGGUAGAGAUCUGGUUUUCUUAGAUGUAAGCUAUUGUGAGAGUCUUCAGAGGCUGCCGGAUGAGUUGGGUAGAGAUCUUGCAAGCCUCAAAUACCUAUCUCUAAGGGGAUGCUCGAGUUUGAAGAGGCUUCCGGAGACAAUUGGGAAUUUGGAAUCGCUGAUUGAGUUGAACAUAGGUGGCCUUACAACGAAAAUCAAAGAACUACCCGAUUCCAUCAAAAAGUUGAAGAAUUUGAAAAUAGUGAAUAUGCAGUAUGGUGACAUAGGCAAAAUACACAAUACCUUUUGGACGAUGGAGAAGCUUGAAAAAAUAAAUAUCAUCCACGAGGCUUAUCAUUACGGGGGUUUACACGUGGAAAUUGGUGAUGGCAUCUAUGAGAAUAAAUCCUUGAGGAUCUUGAGAUUGGAAGGGGUGAGAAUACACGCCCUACCAAGGCUUCCCGAAAGUCUCAUCGAAUUACAAGUGGAGGAGUUGAGGGUGGUUCCAGAUCUCUCAAAUCUCGCUAACUUAAAGGUAUUGAAACUGGGCUUUGGCCCACCUGAUCCUGAUGGGAAAUUUUAUGGGUUUCUGGAAGAACUGACACCACGGGGGAUUGGGAACUUAACCAAAUUGAAGCCUCUGACACUCUGGUAUUCCAGGGGGAGCGCCUCAUCGACAGACCUGAGCCUCCCUCCUCAUCCGCGUCGCCUCACGGGGCUUCCCUCAAAUUUAUCCUCCUUAGAACUCCGUGAUUGCGACUCACUUUGCUCGAUGGAUCUAUCGAAUUUGAGGAAACUAUCGUCUCUCUUGAUUUGGGACUGUGCAGUUGCAGAGAUUGAAGGCCUUGGUUGUUUGGAGAACCUACGAGAUUUGAACCUUCAGGGCGACGGACAGCUGGCGAUGCUACCUGAUCUAAGCAAGUUAAACAAGCUGAGGGAAAUUAAAGUACGCAAUUGUGGUAAUCUGGUUGAGAUUCAAGGCGAACUACCGCGGUUUUUGGUUGAUAUUUUAAUUUAUCGCUGCGAUUCGUUACGGGAGUGCCCCGAUCUGUUCAGCUUACCCGAUCUGUUCAGCUUAAUGGGUAAGAAAGAUGUUUGUAUGCAUAUUCUCGAUCAGGUGUUUUAUUAUACAGAUGGACAUCGAUUGCUGGUUCGUGGCUUUAAACAGAUGCAGAUCCCUGAUCUAAGCAAUUGUAACGGACUAACAAUUCUUACAGUAGAAUCUUGUCAUAAUCUGGUUGAGAUUCAAGGCAAACUACCCCAAUCUUUGGAAGAAUUGUACAUUAAAUCUUGUGAAUCUUUACAGAAGUUACCUGAUCUGUCAAGCUUGACGGGACUGAGAAAGGUUACAAUAAGACGUUGUGGGAAAUUAGCGGUGGAGGAAAUUUCUCGGCUUUGCUCGGAGAAGUCAAUCAAAUUUCUGGGAGAAGACGAUGAAGAAGAUGAAUAAGUGCACGUUGCACUUGGAAGCUUUUUGAUGCGCGACCACAAAUUGUUCCCUUGUGUUCAAACCUUAAACGAAUUGAGGUAAGUACCAAUGUUUUCCUUUUUUUGGCAAUCAAAUUCUUUCACAUAUAUGAACAGAGAAGUUUUGCAUGCACUUUUUAACGACCUUUUAGCGGAUUCUUGUCUGAAAAUCUGAUGAAGGUAUUUAAAUUAUGAUGCCUCUGAACAGCCAGAGGGCUCUUAAUUAUGUACGAGUAUUUGUGUUCUUUUCCUAGUUUGGUUUGGCUUUUUUAGCUACAUUUUCUUAGGAUGGUUUCUCCUAGAGGUAUGCAUGUUGAUUGCAUCAUUUUUAUUUGAUAUGUAACAAAUUAUUAGAGAUCGUUGUUGAUUUGCUGCUUCACACAUAUUUUGAAAUUGAUAACCUCACUUCGCAUGGGAGAUAAAUUCGCUAUGCUGUAAACAAAUAGAUGGAAUGUGUGUUGGAAGGUCACACAACUAUGGUUCUCAUCCUGGGACUUUACAACACAAUCAACUCACUGUUGCGACUUUGACGUAGACAGACACUCUGUAUUGCCAUGCUUAAGUUCAGUUUAUUUUGCAGGAAAGGUGUGCUUCUUAGUGGGAUUUGCAAAUGUUAUGGAGAAGUCAUAAAUGAGGGAGCCACCGCAAUUCUGAGAUUACUGGUGUGGUAGCACUGGCUAAAGCAGCAGCACCAUAAUAUUUAUCUCAGCAAUGAUGCCUUCAAUCAUAGCAAUCUUUGACGGGCACACUGACAAAAAUCAUUCUGUGCAGCAAACAUCGCCUACAGGAGUAAUUGAGAGAAUGCAGCAUUCGCUGUACCAGUAAAGAAGGAGCACCCUUUUGCUGAGACUUGAGAAUUGCACUCACUUACAAAAGAUUGGUAAGAAAAAGAGAACACCUUCCCUUGGGGCUGCCUUCAGUAUUAGAACUGUGCAUUCUGAAGCAAUAUUGGCAUUGUUUUUGUCAUGAGAUCCACUCAAUUCUAGUAAAACACUGGCACUGCCACCAAAGUUGGUAAUGCGUCAUAUGCUGCUCGCCACCUCAGAAGAACUUUCAUCAAGUAGUGGUGGCUCUUCCAUGUACUUGAAAACUUUCGUAGAACCUGGUGAUCAUAAAAGAAGAGCUUUGCACAAGCCAAGCAUCAAUUUGAGAAAAUCUUCCAAAUUCUUCCCAUGUACAAACUCCAAAAGAUUUCCAAUCCACCGUGUUACUUUUAGCUGAGAAAGCAACUUGGGAUCCAUAUCCUGAGCCAAUGCCAGAGCCACGCGCAGCUCAACAUCAUUCACAUUUGCACAGGACAGAUCACCAAGUGAAAAUCUGAAGCAGUGGCUGACUGUCUUUAGGUGUGGAAUCUCAGAAAUUUUAGUCAAGUUGAACUUUAUGAGCAUCAGGGACAGCUUCUGCGCAAACAUUGGUAUUGUGGUCCUCAUCCUCAAUCAAGGUUGGGUAAAGAGGGAGAAAUUGCACCAAGGACAUGGAUUUCAAGUUUGCCAGCUUAAGCUCUAACUCUGGAGUUUUGAUUAGGAAAAUGAACGUCGCAUCAAACGGAAUCUUGAGGCACAGAAGUCUGGCAUCACCAUCUUUGUUGCCCUUAUACAGAACAUCCAGACUCAGCAAAAUCCCACAGAUGAAUACGUUAGAGCUUUCAGCUCUGUGAUAGACUCAACGCCAGCAUUUUGAGCCGGCAAUGCAGGUUCUAGGAGCGGAUCAGUGUUGUGCUCUUGUUUUCUUUUUCAAUCUUGAACUGCUUUUGGAUCGUGUUUGUAAUUAGUGUGCUGAAUUAUGCUUCGUGUGAGUGUGAACCAUCUAAGUUUUGCCUGUCCAGUGUUUGGUGAUCAUGUGCAAUUUUGGUGUUUGACGAAAUGAGUUAUGUGCUUGAGUCUGCGUGUGCUAGAAUGUCACCUUCAAGAAGCACCUGAAGCUGAAGCUGAAGCGCAAGGUCUAUUGUGACGGUUUCCUCUCACCUGCACCUCCACUGGCAAGGUACCUUCGCUUUCACUACUAAUCUCUGCUAGUGAUGUCCAGCUCAACCUGGUCUGCAAUUCAGUUACCUUUGAUUAGGCUUGGACAUGAUUCGGUUUGAUUGGCUAAUCUGUGUCAAAAUUGCUGGCUAUUGAUUUAUUACCGUUUUCCCCCAUAUUUAGGUUGCUCGAUCGAACUGAACAGCAGCAGCUUGAUGCUGCUUACGAUUUCAUUUUUUCUAUCAUCACGGAUUGUUCUGUUCUGUGCUUCUGGUUGUAAUACUCGCCGUGAUUGAGCUUGUUUUGAGUAGAUUAGUCCAUGCUGUGAUUGAUGGUCGGAUAAUGCCAUAUCAUGGCAGCGAGCAGCUGUUGGGAUGCAGGAUUUUGAAGAAUGAUGAAGUUAUUUGUUCUGGUCAGUCACUGAUUUCAAUGCUUAUUUGGUUGAUGUUGGAGAGCCUGGAGGAGGACAAAAGCCUCUAGAUGAUACUUAUAUUCACAGCCUGAUUAUUGUUUGGCAAUUGGAUUUAUAAGUUCCCUCUGCCGAGGGUAUUCCUUGCUUGUCUUCUUCAUAGUUGUUUUGUUGGUUCAAAUCAUCAGUAGGUGCAAUGUGAUGAAUGUGAAGUUCUUGGGUUUGGUUUGGUAAAAGUCCAAAUGGGUAUAUUUUACUUAUUAUUUGUCUUGGAAAAAAGAGCAUUGCUUGCAUACAAAUACGCAUAGACCCUCCUUUGUGAUGCUUUGCUAGUUGCUCGUGUGGGAAAUUAAAUAUUUGUUCUUUUGCUUGCUUCAAACAGCUACUUGGGUACAGUUCAUGUGUUGAUUGAUUUAGAAUCUAGAUGUAAACAUUUGCAGUUGGUCUACUGUUGCUUUUGUUCAAUGUAACUGAUCUUUUGAAACUCCAUUUUUUUCGUAAGUUUUUCCUUUUGUUAACCUUACUUUCAAUUGAUGCAGAGCUUUGGUUGAGUUUCUGGAUAUGAGGUUCAGUAUAAUCCCCUCUAUGAAUUACAAGGUGUGUUUUCCUUUUAGCUACUUAAAUCCUUUCGCAUGGAAUCUACAGUUGUAUUGCCUACAUAACUUUUCAUUUUCUGCAGAUGCUCCUAAUUCCUCAAAAACCGAAAAAGAAACACUGGUUAUUUUAGAAGAAACUGGUCGCUUAUGAUGUUGCAACCUGCCGGAAAUGGGAACCAAAUUGAUACCGUCCCUAUACCCUACAUAUAUAGAUUCUACAUCCCAAAUAGCACAGCUUGCUUUACAAUGCUUCCUAAUGACUUCUAACGAGCAGCCUUCGUGGACUAAAGUCAUGGAAGAACUGGAAUCAGUACACUGGAAUAGAAUGGGAUAGUUAAAUUCACUUAGUAUGUCAUUCUAACUUCAUGCGAUGUAAGUCAAAGUCUGUUGUUCCACACUUUUCCAUUUUUCCCGGGAAUAAUCCUGGGCUUUGAAUGUUCAUUUCUAUUGUACCCAGCAGUUACUAGGAGUUGUCUUCUCUUGUAAGUUCUUUGGAAUAUCCAUGACAUGUAUAUUAAUACAUGCACCGCUUUGUGAAUUGAGAUGUGAUUGUACUUAUGAUUAUGAGAGGAACAGUUCUUUAAGGCUAAUCCUCGAUCUUGUUGGCAAUCUGAGGUCCACAGAAGAAGUCCAUUGCUCUUCAAGAGUCCGAGCUCUUUAAUUUUCUUGCAUGCUUGGGCUUUGAACAUGAGCAAAAGCUCAUUUUGGUUGCCAUCACGAAUGUGUUUAUGUGGUGCUUGCUCUGCAAUCAAUCUCCAGGAAGUGCUAGGCGGUUCAUUCCAUUCUCAUAGUAUUUUUGAGCUAUGAGACAUGGUUGGGGAAAUUGAUGGAGUCAUGUAAGGCAAAGUGCUGCUCAGUUGUCCAUUCAGAAAGAGCAAGAUAUGACUUUUGGUGCUGUCAUGUUGCAGCUAAGACAUGUCUGAUUGUUUUGUGCUAAUAAGAGACAUAUUUCUUAUCAUAUGCUAGUUUUAGAUAAGACUUUCCAUAUGACAUCAUAAAUGACUAAAUUUUAUUUUUAUAUUCUCAGUAACUUAGCCCAUUGGUUAUUGUACUUUCUUCACUGUUUGUAAAUCUGAGGGCCCUAUUAUUUUCGACACCUCUCAUGUAAUUUUUAUUUUUAUUUUUGAACUUGUUGAUAUAUCUCUUUUACAUCACUCUUAAUGCAAAAAUAUAGAAGUUUCCAUCAUUUUGUUUUUUUUUUUAAACAAAUUAAAAAAAUAAAUAAAUUGAUUACACUAAAGAACUUUCCAAAUAUAUGUUUCUCAAAUAGUAUUUUCCCAAUGUUACUUCUCAAGUCAUUUUAAAUUGCAAAUUACCAAAUAGUCUUUGCAUUUCACAUAACUCCUUUAGGCUAAGGGCCUUUACAUUAACCAAAGGCUUUCCCAAAAGUCAAAGCAAACGCACCCAUAAAUGGGUACUUGAAAUUGAGCUUUAUGCAGACCUUUGUGCUUAAUUGUUGUUGCCCUGCUAUGUGACCCACUGUUUUGUGUAAAUCAGCGAUAUAGUCGUCGUCAUCAUGGCUGAAGCGCUCUUGGAGAUCCGGCCUCAUGAAGUCAAGUUUAUCUGUGAGUGUAUAUAGUGCUGCGCGUUUGGUUCAUUUUUAUUUUGGAGCUACAUUCAAUUUGCGUUGCUUGCCUCCUGCUUUACUAGGCAAUUAGUGAAGGGGAUGAUAUUUCUUUGUUCUACAAUAAUUUGCUUGAGAAUUUGUGGUUCAACAUCGUAAAUAAUGGUAAAAGAAAUAUCUUAAAUAAGAGCUUCAAUGGCGAGUAUGAAUCGGUUAUUGGUCGCCCUGUUUUUCAAAUUCUUUUCCUUGUGUUUUUUUCAAAUUUUUGGCUAGGUUCUUUCUUUUUGCAUAGUUUCUAUCCUCGCACCACAAACUUUUAGAAUGCCUUGUGAGGUGAAUUUCUUUCCGGAGAUAAAGUAAGUGAGUGUUGUAACCAAAUGACUGAGAAUGAUCGGUAGAGAAAACCAACACGCAAAAUGAGAUUUCGUUGCUGCAUUAUGUCUUCAAAGAAAAUGUAUGAUGGUCCAUUUCAUCACAUCCUACUCUCAUGUUGUGCCCCGUUAAGUUCUUUUAUCUGAAGCCUCUUCUCCAUGUUUAUGCAGUUGAGUUGAGUAAACAAAGCUCAUGCUUGAUUCUGCUACGCAACAAGACUGAUUGGUAUGUUGCUUUCAAGGUGAGGAUUUUUUGCACCUUUUCAUUCACCAUGAUCGUGCUUUACUUUUUUUUAGGUAUGGUGGGCGACCAAUUUUCUUUCAAUUCUGUAUUCUCUUGAUGUAGUUUAAAUUUCAGAGUAGGAUAUCAAUGCAUUAAAAGCUUUCUACUAUUGAGAAACAUUAUGAGCUUUAUACUGGAUAUCCAAAACAUUCCAGGUUAAGUCUACAUCUUUGAAGAAAUACUGUGCGCGAUCAAAUGUAGGCAUCAUCAAGCCAAAUGGAGCAUCUGAUUCAAAAUAGUGCUGCUCAAGUCCAAGGAACAUCAUGUUCACAUACUUAUUAAAGCCACUAACAUACUUGUGAGGAGGGACACGCCUACAGUACCUAAAUCAGCUAAAUAAUUCUUUUGCAAUUUCUUUGCCAUGACAUGUCAAUUGGACUUUAUUAUUGUUGGGUUACAAACUACUUAAGGUAGAGUCAGUCUAAUUACAGCAAGGAUCAUCUUUGAAUAAGAUUUUGAAUGCCUACCAUAGUAGCCUAAUAUACAUUGAGACAAAGGAAAACCACGAUAGGCCUCAGAAGCUAUGUCCUGAUACUUCAAAAGAAUUGGAGUAGGCCUUUCAUCCCAUCUUCUGUUUGAUGUAGUUACCAUGUAAGCACGACAGGUAGCUCCAACUAUCCUGUAGUGCAAAGAUAAGUUUUUGAUACAGGUGAAGAGGACUACUGACAUGGUAGGUUUUGCUGCUAUUUGCUCCAUAAUCUUCCAGGUCAAGUAACUCGAGAAAUUUUCUUUUAAAUUUUCAAAUUGAUAAAGAAAGUGGUAAAUACAUAGAUGAGAGGAAGAUAAAAGCAGUUCUAACCAGUCCAGUGGAAUCACUAUCAAGNNNNNNNNNNNNNNNNNNNNNNNNNNNNNNNNNNNNNNNNNNNNNNNNNNNNNNNNNNNNNNNNNNNNNNNNNNNNNNNNNNNNNNNNNNNNNNNNNNNNNNNNNNNNNNNNNNNNNNNNNNNNNNNNNNNNNNNNNNNNNNNNNNNNNNNNNNNNNNNNNNNNNNNNNNNNNNNNNNNNNNNNNNNNNNNNNNNNNNNNNNNNNNNNNNNNNNNNNNNNNNNNNNNNNNNNNNNNNNNNNNNNNNNNNNNNNNNNNNNNNNNNNNNNNNNNNNNNNNNNNNNNNNNNNNNNNNNNNNNNNNNNNNNNNNNNNNNNNNNNNNNNNNNNNNNNNNNNNNNNNNNNNNNNNNNNNNNNNNNNNNNNNNNNNNNNNNNNNNNNNNNNNNNNNNNNNNNNNNNNNNNNNNNNNNNNNNNNNNNNNNNNNNNNNNNNNNNNNNNNNNNNNNNNNNNNNNNNNNNNNNNNNNNNNNNNNNNNNNNNNNNNNNNNNNNNNNNNNNNNNNNNNNNNNNNNNNNNNNNNNNNNNNNNNNNNNNNNNNNNNNNNNNNNNNNNNNNNNNNNNNNNNNNNNNNNNNNNNNNNNNNNNNNNNNNNNNNNNNNNNNNNNNNNNNNNNNNNNNNNNNNNNNNNNNNNNNNNNNNNNNNNNNNNNNNNNNNNNNNNNNNNNNNNNNNNNNNNNNNNNNNNNNNNNNNNNNNNNNNNNNNNNNNNNNNNNNNNNNNNNNNNNNNNNNNNNNNNNNNNNNNNNNNNNNNNNNNNNNNNNNNNNNNNNNNNNNNNNNNNNNNNNNNNNNNNNNNNNNNNNNNNNNNNNNNNNNNNNNNNNNNNNNNNNNNNNNNNNNNNNNNNNNNNNNNNNNNNNNNNNNNNNNNNNNNNNNNNNNNNNNNNNNNNNNNNNNNNNNNNNNNNNNNNNNNNNNNNNNNNNNNNNNNNNNNNNNNNNNNNNNNNNNNNNNNNNNNNNNNNNNNNNNNNNNNNNNNNNNNNNNNNNNNNNNNNNNNNNNNNNNNNNNNNNNNNNNNNNNNNNNNNNNNNNNNNNNNNNNNNNNNNNNNNNNNNNNNNNCCCCCCCCCCCCCCCCCCCCCCUCCACCACCGGCGCCGAUCCUCUACUCCCUUUUUCCCCAAAACUUGGUUUUGCCCCACAAGACGGGGUGCAAGCUGUAGCCUCCCCUUGGCCACAUUGUCCCUAGGUUCCAGCCCCCUUUUACUAAAAACCCCUCUCCGCCCCUUUUUUGGGUUUUUCCGUUUUUGCCCCCCCCCCCCCCCCCCUUCCUCCUCCUCCUCUCUCUCCCCCCCAUAGAAUAUGGUAUCUUCUUGGUGGCCUGUUAUUUGACUACCCUCUCUGUUUUAUAGUACAUUCCACUUAUGUAUAUGUUGCUCUUUGCUUGAAAAAAUUCUACUUCAUUAUGCAGUAUGGUUCUGGUACCGAGACAUCAGACCGAAGAUGUGCACUGUACUGCAUACAGCUAGAUGAAUAAUGGACGUAUUUUGCUCCAAGAGAUUUCAAUUUUCCACCCAAGUAGCUGUAGUUGCUGCAUGUUGCGAAAAGAUCCAUGCCCAAAGCGAACUAACUUGUUUUGACCAUGCCCGGUUUUUUGUCGUUCAUGCUUUCAAAGUGGUUGGCUAUUUGGGUGGAGUGCUGUUUCUUGUUUUUGCGGUAGUGACAUUCAUCGGAGUUUUCUAGAGGUUUUCAAUCUGCUGAAAGAGUGGGCUCCGAGCUCGUGAGGUGUGAUAUUGGUUGCGGACUUUGGUUAGAGCGACAAGAUCUAAAUAGGCUGGAAAUAAGGUGCUGAAGAUUCACCAUAGGCCUCUUCUUUAUCGCUUGUUUUCGUGUAUAUUCACAGCUGCAAACGAGCUUUGACUUGAGGCAUGUGAAAUGAAGAGUAAAUGCUGAGAACCUUGUCUAGGCAUUGGUGCAAUUUUCUUAUUUGAAGCUUUAUUGGCCAUCGAAUCUCAUCAUCAUGAACAAGUUUGCAGUUUCAUUCCGAUUUUGAUUAGUUCGAACACAUGGUCCAAGAUUCUUAUAAAUGCUAUGUAACAGAAUUCUCCAAGUUGGAUCCAAAGUUACAUACAUAACAUGAUGUUUUUGUUUUGAGAUACUAAUACUAAAAGACAGCUUGUUCUGAGUAUGUCGAUACUUUCCGGAGACUAGUAUGGUUCUUUUUCAUUCUUUUACCCCUUUCACCGUAACGCAUGGUGCUACAACAAUCGUACCCUUCAAGAACAACGUAGGUUGGGCUGGGAAAGUAGUUAUAUCUCAGUAAUCGGAAGAUUAAUGUGGGACUAGUCAAACAGGGGAUCAUGAUUUUCCCUGAAUAUGACGGAUACUCCCGAGGUGGUCAUUUAGUUAAUUUGAUUGUGGAGACCAAAUGGAAGAGGUAUUGAGUAUGUAGGGGAUGAGUAGAAGAAGAAUUAACCAAUUCAAUCAAGAGUGACUUCAGGCUAUAUGGUGUUUCCUUGAUUAGUUUCUUAUUCACAGAGUUAGUCUACACAAAAAAACAGUUUGAUUUGACUUCAGGCUAUAAUUCUAAUUGCAAUUUGAUUGAGCAAAUAAAAUGCAUACAUUGCAGUCAAGCCUACACAAUUUAUUAUGACAUAUCCUCCCGAAUCAAUGCCUCUGCUUGCCAAUUUGCAUUGCCAUUCUCCUAAAAAUCACGCAAGGUCUACUAGGGAAGGAGCUCAUCGCUUCUCACAAAUUCUUUGGUCCUUUAAUUCUUCUUGGAAUUGCAUUCCUCAUGAAAUGGAAAUCCUAGAUUCAAUGUUAAGACGAAGUUUCAUCCAAAAUUGGAUUAUAAUAUUCCAAAUGAAUCACAUUAGGCUAGUGAUACUUGCUGAAUAAUAUGUAAAAAUCACAAUGAUUAAGAAUGAAAAUCACUAGAUUUCAAUUUGGAGUAGUGAUUGAGAAAUUGAACUCUAACUCUUGGCCUCUAUUCCAACCUUCUCAAUUAAAGUAUGGCUAGUACGAAUUACUUUUCUUUUGGGUAAAUAUAGAAAAUCGCUUGUUAGUCAUGUAUCCAAAAGUGGUGUUGUGAGUAAGGUAUUGCGUUCGCUUUAAAUUAAUUUUUUAUGUUACAAAACUCCCAAAAUAGUAUAUCUGUGUGUUGCAUUUAUCCUUAGAUUAAUUUUCGUUGAACUAGCCUAACGGGAUUCAUGAGAUUGUCUCUUCGGCUGUCCCCGAACCAUGGGAAGAAAAAGACUGAAUUUUGGAGAAAGAGACGAGGUUUUUAGAGCGAAACACACUUGCCGAUCUAAGUAAGUUAAAAGAGGACCAAAAUAUUAGGAAAUUCCGAAAAGUUUUCAGAUGCGCCGGCGCCGUGGAGGUAGUCGGAGAUUAUCUCUUCGGAGGUGGCGGAGCUCGGAGGCCUUCUUGAAGAGGCCCUUUCCGCCUCUUCGGGUAGGCCACGAUUCCCUCGGCCGAAGAGAUAAUCUCUGACUACUUCCGCGGCGGCGGCGGCGGCGACGGCGACGGCGACGUGGUGCCACCGAUGGGUGUGACUGGAUUGAGGCUGAGUGGGAUUCUUGCGCAACGAAGGAGGACGUGGAGUCACUGAUCGGCGAAGUAUGACGCCGUUCGUGAUUUUGUACGCAAAGAAAUUGGAAAGAUCUGGGAAGAAUUCGUCUGCGAUGAUCGGUGCUGGUGAAGAUUCCGGAGCUGGGUUUGGUUGUAAUUCUGAAAUUUCGGCCGAUCAAGAGAUGGGUUCCGUUUUUUGAGAGCUUCAAAGCUCGUUGCCAGGCUCUCUUCGUGGAUUUGCGUUGGAGAUGGCGACGGCUUCUUGACUUCGCCGGAUAACUUGGCCAUCGGCGGUGGAAGCUCGGGAGAGGAGUCGACGCUCUGCGAUGAAGGCUAUGGAUAUAAUCCCGACCACUUUCUUACACUUGAAGAUUUGGAUGUUCUUCUGUGAUGUAAAUGUGAAAUGCAUGUGAUUGUUCUUAUUAAACUGCACCGUACAGAAUACAUGGAGUGGGUCGUGUUCAAAUUCAUCUCUUUUCGGAUGAGAAAAGCAUCAUUUAGUCAGUUGUUUCGUGGCUGAAGUUGGGGAUAGAGAGGAUUUAUGAUUUCAGUGGUAUUUCUCUUUUGCUAGAUUGUGAAAGAGACUAGCUUUUAUUUAGACUGUCUCAGUAUGGGGAUGAAUUGACUGUCAGGGGUGAUGAAUGGCGGUGCCAGUGAAUGCGAAGCUUUCCACUGUCUGUGGAGUACUAUUGCUCUUUAGAUCGGAUAGUUUAUGCAACUAAUUAUCUGUUCAUUGAUGACUUCUGUGGGGAAACCUCAGAAAAUAGUUUUAGAGAUGUGGUUUUUAAACUGAACUUACAACUGUGAUGCACGUCUUGAGGGAACAUCAGACAGUUUGUGCUUCAUAUCUUUCAGGUAGUAGGAAAAAGGUAAAAUUUCUGAAGGAACACAAUUAAAAGCAGUGAUUUGGAAGUCCUGUUAUAUGCAGUUCCUUUCGUAUCCUUCUCAAUGGACUUUGGUAUAGACAAAUAAUUGGGAGAAUAUUGUUCGCUUGCCUUGCCUUUAUCAUAAUUAUCUAUACUCCUGUAAGCAUCUUAAUGACGAAGAUCAUCAUAUACUUUACCAUGCCAUCGGUUGCUCAUUACGCUUUUAAGGGGUCUGUCUUUCAAGGGAUCAACCCAGUUCCAUCAUCAAAGUCAUUGUAUUGGAAGGCAGAUUGCAGUGCUUGUAUCUUGCAGAUGAUAAAGUGACUGUAUUGGAGUCAGAGAAGCGGGCUUGGGAGAAUCUGCCACAAGCUCAGGCUAUCAGAGAAGCUGUAAAUCCUUGAAGAAAUCAUAAUGCAGAAGCAAAAAAGAAUUCAUAGUGCCACCAUGGACAAGUUUGUACCUGGUAUUUAUCUCGAACGCUCUCAUUCAACAAGGAGAGAACUUUCUGUAAACCAUGCUCUUGAUGGAGAAGUUUGAUAACAUUCAAAACAAAUAGGUCUAGGUGGUGGAGCUAUUUUGCUUAACUCCUUUUAGUUAAUGUGUAAUCCAUGUAUUUAUGAGACAUUUUGGCAAUAGGUCUUAAUGCCUCUGGCUAUUAGACUUGUGCGUUGUAAUUGAUGGGAUGAUCACACAUUAGUUUAUUGGAUUAUGUUUUAUUCCUUUUGCCCUUAUAAGUUGGCAAAGAGUACCUAAAAUUGGAUGACCAUAUGUACUGAUGCUGGAAGCUGUGAGUGAACUUUUAAACAACUGAGGUCGUGUUUUGGAUGCUUGAAUAUUGUCUGCAGUACGCCAGACCCAUAUCUGCACAUUGCUCCUCUGUCCUGGAAUGAAUUUGGAAUAUCCUGAAAUGUUUUGAGGCGAUUUUGUAUUUGGCUGCUUGGCAAUUAAUCUCCUGUUCAGUGAGUGAGAUUUCCUGUAUGUGAGUUUUGGAAAUUAUACGUUUUCUUGGCAUUGUUCAGUAUGCGCUUCCCUGAUCAUCGUCCAAUGGUCUGUUAAGAGUUUGCUGCUUGCUUGUCGCAUAUGGCGACACGGAUUGCAUUCUUUUUUUAUUUGGGCUUCCAGAACUCAGUAUCUUUCAUGUGCUUUAUAGAUAUGAACGACCGGAGUUCGGACUCUGUCAUGUGCAUUUCUCUCCGCAGUUUUAUUUAUUUUGCGUGGUGUUGGAUUGGGAAUAUUCGUGUAGGAAAUUUUUUUAUGUCUGAAUGGCAAAUUUACUAUCAUUUACUACUGGGGCCGAAUUUUCCUCAAGAAUAUCAAAGCAGUGGUUCUAUGCAAUCAGGCUAGUAAACGUAAUUACUCAGGAAUGAAUAGUGAAGAGCCGGUUACUUUGUUGAGUUUCUUGUUCUUGUUAUUCUUUUUAACUCAAGCAAUUGUUUAGGUCAAGAAUGUGAUGCCUUUAGAUGAUUCAGAAUUAACACUUAAAGAACCUGGAGUCACAGAAAAUUUCUCGCAGCAUUGGUCAAUGACCAAUCUUAAUUGAGCUGAUAUGUAGACUUUAUUUGGUGUGCAAAGCUGAUGAAUGGUGUAAUUUGAUUAUAUCCUAUCUCUCACAUAAUGACCAAUCUUAAUUGAGCUGAUAUGUAGACUUUAUUUGAUGUGCAAAAGCUGAUGAAUGGUAUAAUUUGAUUAUAUCCUAUCACCUCACAAAUGUGAGAAAAGUUGUGACGAAAAAGGGUUUUGAUUAGAUAAUGUGAUUACAUCCUAUCACUAUUCUUUCACAUUCAGAUCGAUUUAAAAUUGUCUCUUUUCUACUAAUCAUGUGAAGCAACUAGUGUGUUGCAAGAAGAGAAUUUAUGAUUAGAUGCUACUGAUCAUUCGGAUAGCCGGCUUCUGGGGCAAGGAAGUUUGCUUAAGAGGGGAGAAAUAGGAAGGUCGCUAUAAUUAUUUAAUGUGAGGUUAUGCUAUUUUGUGGAAAGAGUAAGAUCAAAAUCAAUCAAAGUGACAUUAUGGACUUGCCUUUGCUGCUUAAUCGUACAUAGCCCCAAUAGUUUGUGACAAAAUUUGCCUGUAUCGCUUCUGUCGAUCUUAUACAGUUAGCAUCUUCUAAUCUACGACAACUUAGUCCGAUGUUUUGCGUUGAAUAGCAGCAACAUACGCUUUACUUGGGAUACUUGGUGAGUACACUCGUAGCUGAAAUGCCAUUAUCACGUGUUGCCUAUUGAGCGUUUUGGGCUAGGCAGAAACAGUUGGAAAACCUCUGGGAUCGACAUCUAAUAUAGUGUCUGGAUUGUUCAAGUAUGACUAAGCCAUCUCGCGGUUCAUAAUUGCAAUUUAGAAUCGAAAACUAAGUGGUAAUCCCAUCUUUUUAGCCAUUGAACAACUUGAGUCCUGUCAUAUGUCCCGAUCCCUGAAUCUUUUGGGAGCCAUUGAAUCCAAAGGAGAGGGUCUGAAGAACCAAAGAGGGACAAGUUAACAAAAGCAACUUUAUUUGUACGAGAUUUCGACAAAACACAAAUUAGCUUGAUCAGUGGCUAAGUAGCAUCGACACACAACAGUCUUAUUAUAACUUCAUGACGGUGUUUAAUUGAAAAAGCGAACGGGAUUAUCCUUCACCAUCGUGCUCCGACGAAGAAACAUGUUAGAGAGAAGACCUCUCUCCGAGGGACGUGUACACGUGGUGCGUUUAACAAGAAUUAGCUUCGACCAAGCCCUGAGCUGCUGCGCUCAUCACAUUGAGGAGCCCUCUCGCCGGCCAUCAUAUAGUCGGUAGGUCUCUCGCGCCCUCAGAAUCGUGCCCGCAUGACAUAACCAUUUUUCAGUUGAUCAACGUGGUCCGGAUAUGAGGACAACCGGCCAUCGGAUAUCAGGAUAGCACCUGAUCGCAACUGAUUUUUUUUCUAUGGAACUUUGUCAUUACUGAUCAAAGAGAAAAAGGCACAAGAUAGCUAUACUGGGUUUUCUCUGCAGUAAGCCAAAAAGAAUGUGAAGUACAUUUGGAGGGGAAACUACAUCAAGAACGAUGCCAAGAGAACAUAUAAAUUCCAGAAUCCGCAUACAGGAAAAUCUCACUCACCGAGCAGGACAUUAAUUGCCGAGCAGCCAAAGACAGAAAUUGCAUCAGCACAUUUCAGGAUGUUCCAAAUUCAUUCCAGGACAGAGAUGGCUGAUGCGCAGAUGCAGUCUGGCGUAAUUUUAAAUUUUAUUUUUCCUGCAGACAAAGUUCAAGCAUCAAUAAUACGAUCUGUGUGUUUAGAAUUUCACAUCUUCAUCUCACACUCAUCCAGCUUACAGUAUCAUGUAUAGUUGUCCAAGUUUAAAUGCUCUUUGCCGACAUAUAAAGGCAAAAAAGAUCAAAUAUAAUCAAAUAAAACUAAUGUUUGAUCAUCCUGCAAUCACCCCUCGGUCAUUCAAAAAGAAAGCCACAAAUUGGGCGAACGUAAUGGUCAAAAUAAGCCUGUGCACCAGAAAGGCUGACCACCAAUAGUACCACAAUGUCUAAUAGCCAGAAUUCGUAAGACCCAUUGCCAAAAUGUUGCAUGAGAAACAUCAUUUGCACACUAAAAGCAGUUAACCAAGAUUUCUCAACCAUGUAGACGUAUAUUUUCUAUAUGUUAUCAGACUUUUUCAUCAAGAACAUUGUUGAAAGAAAGGUCUAGUGAUGUGCAACAAGAGCAGUCGAGAAAAAAAUCAUACCAGGAAUAACUCAACAAUGGCAGCACUAUGAGUUCUUUUUGCUUUCUGCAUCACGAUUCCUCCAAGGAUUCAGAGCUUCUCUGACAGCCUGAGCUUCCGGCGAAUUCUCCCAAGCCCGCUUCUCUGACUCCAAUUCGGUCACUUUAUCAUCUGCAACAUACAACCACAUUAAUAUUUCUUGGUUAAUACAGAAAGACAGACCCUUUGGUAGUAAAAUAAGCAACCAAUGGCAUGGGAAAGAAUCUGAUAAUCUUCGUCAUGAAGAUGCUCACGAGAGUAUAGGUAGUUAUGAAGGCAAGGCAACCAAACAACAUUCUCACAAUCUUUAGUCUAUACCAAAGUCCAUUCAGAAAGAUGCAAGUGAUGAAAGCUCAUCAGUCUUCAAUAAGAUCACAAAGGAACUGCAAUUUCAACGGGACUACAAAUCACUUCAUCUAAUUGUGUUCCUACAGAAAUUUUAACUCUUUGAUUAUACCCUGAAAGAUAUGAAAUAGCUGCAGAACAAUCCGCUUAAUGUUUUCCUGAGAUGUGCAUCACAGCCGUAAGUUCAAUUUUAAAACCAGUCUCCUCAACGACUUUUCAGAAGUUUCUCCCACAGAUGGUAUCAAUGAACAGAUGAUUAGCUGCACAAGCCAUCCAUUCUCCACAGACAGUGGAACACUUCGCAUUCAUAGGUAUCACCAUUCAUCACCUGAGACAACAUUUUUUCGCAUCAUGCUUUUCGUGUAGAACAACGAGAAUGUUCAGUUCAUCAGCAUAACACGACGGUCCAAAUCAAAGCCCUACUCUUUCACAAGCAAGCGACUGCAACAUACCAAGCGACUACGACAUACCACUGAAAUCAUGAAUUUCCGUCCUACCCCCAACUUCAGUCACAAAGGAACUGACUAAACGAUGCUUUUCUCAUCCGAAGAGACGAAUUUGAACACGACCCAUCACCGUAAAAUCCACUCCCAUUCGACUAACGCAAUAGCUGUCGCACUAGCAUCGCUCGCGAGCUCUAAAGCAAGGUUCAUUAGAUAAAAAUUGACUCCAACUGCUUAAUAGUGCCUAAAAACCAUCCAUUUCGAAGUUAUCUCGCGCCAUUUUCUUUUGGGGUACGAGCUACCCAAAAGAGAAGCGGUAAAAGUCGAAACGAAAGGAAUUGGCAGGAACGGGCGAAGGCGGAGCAAGAAAGAGAUGGAGUGUCCUCACACAGAAGCCGGUCUUGAUCAUGAACAACUCCAUGGAGCCUCCGACGAGGGCCGAGAAGACCCCGAUCUUCACGUACCAAUCAAGAAACUUCACCGCCAUAUCGAAAGCUGCCGCUCAAGCUUUCCGCGGCAGCGGCUGGAAGACGGGAAAACGAAAGAAGGGUCUGUAAGAAAGAGGAGAAGGAAUAGGUAACUUCACGUGGAGAGAGGAGAUCCAACGAGGCCCAUCAUCGGCCAACGCAGCCCGAACAUUUCCCCUCUAAAGAAAGCUUUUUUAGCUGUUGGGUCCAAGGAACUUGGGCCUUUGGCCACUUUUAGUGCUGCUCGUUGCAUCAAGAUACAAUCUUUUCGUCUUCUCUUCUCGUUGCGUAAACGAGGGCGGAUGCUUUGUUACAGAGUGCGUUUGGUUCAGCAUUUUGAAAGCUCGGGGAAAUACAAAAUAGUUUAGUCUAAGGGGCUUUGGACAAAUACAAAGACUAUUUGGUAAAUUACACUUUGAAAAGCAACUUUGAAACAAAUGCUGUUUGGUAAAAAAACUCAUUUAGAAAGCCCAUUUGAGUGAUUAAUAUUAGUUUUUUAGUUUUUAUAUGUUUAAAAUUGACAAAAAUAAUGCAUGCAACUUCUUUUAAUUUGAAUUUUGACGACAAUGCUAAAAAAUAUCAAAUGGAAAAAAUUCACAUCAAAGUGGUCUCUUUCUUAAUUUUUUUUUAAAAAAAAACCUUUAUUAUAAUAAACGGAAUAACAUCUGUCCCGAGGAAAUAAAUUUAUUAUCCUUUAAAAUUACAAACAUCCUUAAAUAUUUCCUAAACUUAGAGCCAUUUGAUCAAGCUAGAAUACUAUGUACAACAAACCUUGAUACAACAGAGUUUCUCAAAUAUCUAUUCUUUGUUUACAUGCAAAGUGUACAUAAAAGUUCAAAUGCUCCUGUCAUAGAUAGAAUAGAUAGAAUUAAAGGUCAUUGUAGCACAUAAGCUGCCAUGUCUUUUGACCACAAAGAUGAUUUGUCUGGCCUGCUUGACUCCCCAGAUGAAGUGGAGGAUGAAUCCUUUGAGUGACCUUUCAGACCUUUAUCAGCAAUUAGAUCCAUGAAUUUUGAAAGUGACAAGGUGUCGAUAUUUCACUAUCAUUAACCUCAGCUAAGCUCAUUAGCAUCUUCACGACAGUCAACAUGGAUGUUUGAAGCCCUGGUAUACCCUGUGUUCAGAGAAGACCAAUCUUCAUGAAUAGGCAUGCCUCUUACCUAUGAUGUUCCCCAUCCAGAGAUGUAUCACUAAGGUCACCAUCGCCGAUGCAGUCCUUGAACGGACUAAGAAAUUCAUCAGGAUUAAAUCCACACCCCUCAAGGUCGCAGAGCAUCAGCUCCUCUCCCGAGCUUCCACCCCCCAUGGCCGAGUUCUCCGGUAUAGUCGAGAAACUGUCGUGGUGGCCGUCACCGACGCAAUCCCUGGACACCCUAAGGAAGUUGUCCGGAUUACAUCCACGCCCCUCAAGAUGGGAGCAGGCGGGGGUGGAGUCCACUCCCAAUCCUCCACCGCCGGCGGCCGACUUCUCCGGCGAAGUAGAGAAAGGGUCGCCGUCGCCGUCGCCGUCGCCAUCGCCCAAAUUUUCAGAAUCACAACCAAACCCGUCUCCAGAAUCGCCACCAGAACCGAUCACGACGGACGAACCCUUCUCCAGAUCUUCCAACUUCUCGCCCACAAGAUCACGAACGGCGUCGUACUUCGCGAUCAGGGACUCCACGUCCUCCUCCGUCGCGCAAGAAUCCCACUCCUUCUCAAUCCACUCCGCCCACUCGGUCAAACCCAUCGGCGGCACCACGCCAACGUGGUCGGCAAUUACGUCAUCUUCCACGGAGGGGUCGCUGAAGAAAGAACAGGGCUUGCCGGCGGGGGAGAAGACGAUGACGGCGGCGCGAGCGCCGCAGAGGCGGCAGAGCUCGGAGGCCUUCUUGAAGAGGCCCUUGCGCCUCUUCGAGUAAGUCACGAGCCGCGCGGCCGGGUCGGCGAUCUUGGCGAUCUCCGUUCGCCGGCGCUUACCCAUUUUCGAUGGAUUUCGCGAAAUUUCUUCGACGAUUUGCAGGAUUCUUGGGUUUCCAGGAGAGAGCUUUCGUGGGUUUUUCUGGGUUUCUUGUAGAGAGAGAGAGAGAGAGAGAGAGAUGAAGUUUGAAGUUGCAGAGGAGGCGGGCGGGGGAAAGGAGCCGAACGGGAAGAUCUACUUAUAUCGCCAUCGUGGGGGCCCCUUCGAGAACUUUCUGAAUUCUGAUUUUCGGUCCUCUAAGUUUCUGUAGAUUUUCAAAUUGGCCCCGCCAACAGUUUAUAUUUGUGUCGAUUGAGUACUCUUAAUUUUCAUAAUUUGCGUAAUUGGUGAUUUGUCCAGUGGAUUGCUUUCACCGUUAACACGAUGUGAUAAUUAAUUGAAUUAGAUAAGGGAAGAUGUUGCUUUAGAUUAUAAAUUUUAAUUUUUAAAUUAGAUAAGUAAAAACGUCACUUUAAAUUAUGAAAUUUAAUUUAACAUGAGAUAAGGAAAAAAUGGAAAAAAAAUACAUUGAGAGGUUAAAUGAGAGAAGCUCGUCGUCACGGAGUUUUCAUUGAGGGUUUUUAAAAACAUGUUUGUCCGUUUGAUGACAUUUAUUCUAUGAUUUUUUUUUCUUUUACUCUCUUCUAAUACUUGAAAAUAGAAAACACUUUGGAUAAAAUAUAUGAAGAAGAUAUAUUGUAAGUAAUUUCUUAAGUUGCAACUUUUGAUUAAAGGAAUACUUUUUUUUGAAGAUAAGGACACUUUAAUUGAAAAUAUAAUACCUGAUUAAAAUAUUUGCUCAAAUGUAUAAACUAUAACAAUGCGUAAUACUAUAUUUUUCGUCCUGUCAUGGAUCACUGUGCUAUUUUAGACAUCAUCAUGCAGUAAACAAAAUAGACAAAGCCACCUAAAUCUCUAAAUAUCAUGUAAAAUUAAAUUCAUAAUAAAAACUUAAAAAGAAAUAACAGCCUCACCUGAUUGGAAUAAAAAAAGAAGUGCAUUAUACACUCCCAUUACAAUCCAACAAAAAAAAAAUUGACACCGAAUAGUUAUGUGUAUAGUUUAAGUGCUAUAUUUUCCUCUAAUUAGUUAUAAAUUAUGAAUAUCGCUCACAUGCAAAGUAAAUAGACUAUUAUUAAUAUAGGUGAUGUCUAAGUUGUAACCCAUCAAUUAGCUUACAUAAUUCACUAGCAUUUAACUUUUUCUACAUAAUACAAAAGCAUAGGGACGGUAGUAAGACUAAUUAAAAAAUCUAAAUUCAAUUCUAUGUUUUAGACCUAGUAGGAUUUUGGCACAAAUAUGAAUAGUAUAAAUUUUAGAUAUAUCCAUGAACUCGAUAAAUCUCAGCUGCUAGAUUUUCAAACCUCACAUGGAAUCCAUGUGAUCAAGGGGAUUGCAAACUCCACCCGACACCCUCUCUUGCAAUCAAGCUUUCAAUUUUCACAAAGAAUGGCAAUAGACGUUUACACACGUGUAUUGUGUGUGUUAAAGUUCUAAUAUAUAUAUUGCAUAUUUUAUUGUAUUUUUACUCUUACACUUAUUCUUAAACUUUUGUUUUAUCUUAUUGCAGGGUGUGGGAGUCGAACUUCACAUCUAAAAUUAAAUCAUCCCCACCUCUAGUUGCCUCUAAGAAAGUAAGGGCUCGUCAUGACAACCAUUAUAUUCUAGAAAUAGUUUAUGGAACAGAAAUAGAUUUUUCUAUUUCUAUUUCUAGAAGAGUUUCUAAGUAAAAAUAACCGUUUGAUAACGACACAAAAUUUCUACUUUAAAAAUAGAAAUUCAUUUGAUAAUGACAUAAAAAAAUUUUCUUUUCGGAUGGCGGCAGCAGCGGCGGCCGGCGACCUACGAACAGUGGUCGGCGGCAAUGGAUGAAGGACCGAUUGACGAACGAUGAGAAAAAAAUUUAUUUCUCAUUUCUGUUCUAGAAAUAGAGAAGUAGAAAAUUUCUAUUUUUGAUUUUUAUUCCAAACCUAUUUCUGAAAUAUAAAUUUAUUUUAGAAAUAGAAAAACGGAAUAAAUUUAUCAAAUGGAUUUCUAUUCCAGAAACAAAUCUGGAAUAGAAAAAUUGUUUAUGGAAUAUUGUUUCUGGAAUAGAAAUUCUGAUUUGUCAUGCAUCUCUUAAGAAUUCCAAGCCCCUCUUCCAUGGUUCUAAGAUAAAUGUUUGACUGGGUGAGUUUUUGACAAAAUUUCGGUCCACCUAUGAAGACGAUGGGCUUGUGGGAGAAAAACAGACAGAAUUACCGGGCAGGUUCAAUUCGCGGGGAGUGCAAUAAACUUUACGAAUCACAGUGUGACAAACUUCACAGGGUUCGCAGCACGACCCAAUAUAAAAAUCUCAUCAAUUUUGAGAAUGCGAUUGACUUUCCAACCCGAACCGACAUCCACGUCAGGUCACGCGUGCACGUGGCGCGUUUGGCAAGGGUUAGCUUCGUUGCUGGGGCAAAACGCCCUUCAUUUUUUAUUCGAUGGUGUUGAUGAGAUGAGAAUAGAAUAUGAGGGAGGGGUGGGGCGCUUUUAUCAUCAUCCACGACGACCAAGACCUUUCGCCCCCACGCCACCCAUCGAGCACUAUUUCAUGGCAAUUACGACCAAGACCCGCAUCGUCGCCGUUUCAACGGGUGCUUGAAAAAAAAAAUCAAUACGCCGGCGACCCACUCGUAUCCUUUUCACAAUGACGAUCGUCAGGUGGUCUUUUGCUGGCCGACCACGCCCAGUAUGGGGCUGACCGGUGUGGCUAGGACUCGCGAGGCCUACCUAGCCCCAGCAAGGCCGGUCUGGCCACCGGCGAGGCUCAGCCAAUGCAGGUUGGCCUCGCAAGAGUUGGGCGCUGGGCGUCGCAAGGCUUCCUUAGCCCCGGCGAGGCCGAGUCUCGCCGGUGGCUGGGUUUGCUUCCGGCGAACUUGCUGGACCGGUUGCUGGCGACCGGCGAACGGCAACGGCGAAUGACAAUCGCAGGAUGGCAGUAGAUAAAGAAGAAGAAUAAGAUAAAAUAGAAGAAGACUUGAUUCUCAAAUUUGUUCCUGGAACGAGAAUUAAUUUCUUUUUUUAUUCUUGAUUUUACUCCAAAUUUGUUCUUUGUUCCCGAAAACAAAAAUUUUAUCAAACGCGAUUUUGUUUCCAAACUGCUCUCGGAAACAAAAAAUUAGAAUCAUUGUUGGGAUGGUUACCAAACAACACCUUACUAGAACAAAAAAUUAGAAUCAGUUGUUGGGUUGAUUACCAAACAGCACCUCACUCUCUUGGUCUUCUCUCGUAUUCUCAGCCACUUCGUGGGACAAGAUAUAGAAAUUGAAGGGCAAAUGAAAUAAAUAAAGGAAAAUCGGGCGAGAUGGCGUCAGAAUAAAAACGGGGUUCCAUCCGAAAAUCCAGCAAACUGGUUUCCACUCUCUCUCUCUCUUUCUCUCUCCCUUUCUCUCUCUCUCUCCUGCUGCUGCUGCUGCUGCUUUACUCGUUGGAUUGAUCAUGCAAGCGGCUCAAGCUCAUCCUCCGCCUUCUACAACGUCUGCUGAGAUUCCUUCUCAGGUCCUCUCUCUCUCUCUCUCUCUCUCUCUCUCUCUCUCUUUCGGUGGGCGUUGUGAGUUCUUGCUUUUUGUGUACGUGAGUCUCGCUGUUUGUGGGUUCGCUGGUGAGAUCGAGUUUCGUGCUUGAGAUGGGUCGGAUUCUGCAGGCGUCGGAAGAGAUGGGUCGUCGGCGUUUAGGCGUUUGGUUUCCGUUUUCCGGUUGUUGCUCUGGUUUUAGCUGGUUCCGUGCAAUCUGAGCUCUUUGAGCUCGAGAGGUCGUGCCCCCUCCUCCGUCUUCCGCUUCCGGUGCUCACGCCCCCCGCGAGAAUUUUGCUUGAGCUGUGGUUUGAGAUCUUGGUUAGGCUCGAGUGAGAGAAAUAUGGAGAGCUAUCGAAAAAGAAGGAAAGAAAAUAUAGAAACCCCGAUGCGGGAUGACACGAGUGCGAUUAAAUUUGAGUCGAACGCGACUUAGUGCAUUGCGACGUGUUUUCUGGAAUUCGAGCUACUUUAGUUUGGAACUGAUGAUUGACGCGGCGACGGUGACAGGAUAUGACUUGCGGCCCAUUCGGAGGCUUUGAGAAGUUUGCGGAUUGUGGGAAGAUUAGCAGGAACUAUGAUUAUUUUAGAAAUUAUACAACCGCCUCCAAAAGAUGAGAGCUUUACCUCGUGCAUUGUCAACUUUGACAAGCUGGAGUGAUGCUGCAAGAAUCAUUCUUAUUAAAUAAUUGUAGCACAGUGGCCCACGACUCUUUGCAUAUUUAGCUAAUUCAGGCUACCAAGUUUAAUGACCUAUAGAGAUUUCCAUUUGUGAGUCAGGCUUCCAAACAUUUUCCAUCUCCAGCUGUCAUUGCUUUUGCUGAUAUGCUGUUUGGUAUUUCUUGAAGAUCAUGUCGAGGGAAAUCGUGCAGAAAGACAACAUACCUGUAAAAAUUGAUGGAAUAGCAGGGAGCGCUUCUUUUACUCACACUGCGACAGAAGGUCAAGGAAUGGCUAAUUCAUCAGGAUAUGAAUAUGAAGUAUUCUUGAGCUUCAGAGGAGAAGAUACUCGAACAAUUUUACCGACUUCCUUUACACUAGUAUGAUAGAUGCGGGAAUCCGCGUCUAUAAGGAUGACGAAGAGCUCUGCAAGGGGGGAAAUUUUGGCCCGGAACUUCUCCGAGCAAUUAAUCAAUCGAAGAUCUCAAUACCUAUAUUUUCGAAAGGUUAUGCCUCUAGCAUAUGGUGUCUCAAGGAGCUAGUCCAGAUGGUCGAGUGCCGAAAAACUAGGGGACAAAAGAUUAUGCCCAUUUUUUAUGAUGUAGCACCUUCAGAGGUUCGACACCAAAUUGGACCUUAUGGAAAGGCCUUUCUUACACAUGAAAGCAAGAAGCGAUAUGAUGAAGAGACUAUGCGUAAGUGGAAAGCUGCUCUCACCACGGUUGGAGAACUAGAUGGAUGGGAAAAAAAGGCCAACGGGUAAUUGCCUCUAUCAUUCCAUUUGAUGUGCCUUGUCCCAUUAAAACUUGAUGUGUUUCAUUGUUGAAAUUGGAUUUUAUGCUAUUGAAACUUUACCACAGAAAUCACUCAAAAUAAUGGGACAAUCCCAUUUUUGUCCUUUUUCAUUCCGAACAACCUUUUUUUUUUCUUUUUUUUUCGGUUAAGGUCAUUCGCUAAUCAUAUAUGCCAAUGCUAAUUCAUUUACAAUGAAGUAAAUCCUUGCAGAAAGCAUUUCGAAUAGGUCUCUAGUUUUCACUUUGGUCUUGUUAGAACAUAGCUUGGUUCAACACAUUUUUCUAACUCAUUGCCAUUUGACCUCCAACAAACACUAGGAAAGAAGGUGAGAUGGCAAAAAAAGUUACCCAGAAGGUUUUCAAUGAAUUGAAAAAGGCUUAUUUGGUGGUAUCAAACAACUUGGUCGGUGUGGACAAUCAUGUGGAUAAAAUCAUGGAAGAGAUAGGUGCUCACAUAAAUGAAACGCGGAUCAUAGGAAUUCAUGGGAUGGGUGGCAUUGGAAAGACUACAAUUGCCAAAAUCAUAGACAAUGAGCUUUCCAACAAGUAUGACAGUUGUUGCUUCCUUUCCAACAUCCAUGAAACGUCAAAGCUCAAGGGCAUUGAGUACUUGCAGCAGCAGCUCAUCCAUGACAUCCUAAAGAUGAAAGGGACGGAUAUAAGAAACAUUGAUGAAGGGAUUAAGACCAUUAAAGAUAGGUUCCCUACUCACAGAGCCCUCAUUCUUCUUGACGAUGUGGAAGAAAAUGAUCAUAUGGAUGCACUUGUAGGCAAGCGUGAUUGGUUUGGUAAAGGAAGUAGACUUAUUAUUACUACAAGAAGGAAAGAUGUUCUCCAUGUUCCAGAAGUGGAUUGGAGGUAUGAGCUUACAGGCAUGGAUGCCCAUCAAUCUCUUCAACUUUUUAGCAAACAUGCCUUCAGAAGAGAUUCUCCUAUAGACGAGUAUAUCGACCAAUCCAAGAGGGCAAUACACAUUGCCGGAGGUCUUCCAUUAGCCCUUGAGGUCAUAGGUUCACUUUUAUCCGGCCAAAAUAAGAAAAUGUGGGAUGCCACGUUGAAGAAACUAGAAAGUGUUCCUCAUAAUAAAGUUAAGAGUAAGCUGAAAAUAAGUUAUGACGCAUUAGAUGAUAGUCAGCAGCGUAUAUUCCUUGAUAUAGCUUGUCAAUUCAUUGGAUAUUGCAAAGACAUUGUGUUUUAUUUUUGGGAUAUACCUAAUUUUUCUCCGAAAGUAGAUGUGGAAGUUUUGCAGAACAUGUCUUUAAUAAAGAUUGGAGAAGAUAAUAUAUUGUGGAUGCAUGAUCAACUCAGAGACCUUGGAAGAGAAAUAAUUCGUCAAGAAAGUGACAUGAAUAUAGAGAAGCAACGUUGGGUGUGGAAUCCCGAGGAUGGAUUAAAUCUACUAAGGAUACAUGAGGUAAAAUGCUUUGUGCUAUACAUCUCCAAAUUACUUGUAGACAUUUUCUUUUCCAAAAAAAAGUAGUUACUUUUUGUGUUCUCUAGCACGAUCGCGACCUACUCAACCGAUAUGUUUGGUCUUUUAAGAUUUUAAAGGAAUGAUAGUAGUCAACUCAACCCUUAAAAUAAUGAACUUGAAGAAAUGUGUUUCCUUUCAACUUUUUUGUUUUAAAAUUUUUCUUUUGGGCAGGAAAAGAAAGAAGUUAAAGCUCUUCAUCUCAAGUUUGAUGAUCAGCAUCGUUUUACCUAUAAGGACUUUAAGAGCCUGCCAAAUCUAACGUUCCUUGAAGUGGACGACUUGAAGGAAAAUUGUUGUGCCAAAAAGGAGCUUUUUUGUCUCGAAUGGCUAUCAAAUUGUCUUCCAAUUAAUAUUUUCCAGAGGAAUUCAAAUCUCCUUCCACAAUUACGAUGGCUUUCUUGGCAUAAUAUUCACCCAACAUUUAAGAUUGCAAAUUUCUCCGUAGAGAAUUUGAUUAUCCUUGAUCUAUCUCGGAGUGAAAUUACUCAUGGUUGGAAGGGGUGGAGCCACAUGAAGGUAUGCUAUAUGCUAGACAACACUUAUUCUUCGUUCUUAUUAGAUUCAAAAGUAAACUUUGCAUGAUUUUUCUUUCACAGGUGAUUGAGAAUUUGAAAGUUCUGAAUUUGGCCCAUUGCCGACACUUGAAGAGAACCCCCAACUUCUCAGCUCAUUCAAAUUUAGAACAUUUAAUCCUAUCAAGCUGUGAAACAUUAAUGGAAAUUGAUAGAUCAAUAUGUCAGUUGGAAAGCUUGGUUUUCUUAGAUGUAAGCUAUUGUCAGAGUCUUCAGAGGCUGCCAGAUGAGCUGGGUAGAGAUCUUGCAACCCUUGAAUACCUAUCUCUAAGAGGAUGCUCGAGUUUGGAGAGGCUUCCGGAGACAAUCGGGAAUUUGGAAUCGCUGAUUGAGUUGAACAUAAGUUCCACGAGAAUCAAAGAACUACCUGAUUCCAUUGAAAAGUUGAAGAAUUUGAAAAUAGUGAAUAUGCAGGAUAGUGACAUAAAAAAAAUACACGAUGCCUUUUGGACGAUGGAGAAGCUUGAAAUAAUAAAACUAAGCAAGCUGCGUAGGAUGAGCAAGCACGAUAUGUAUCAUUAUGGACACGUGGAAUUUGGUGAUUGCAUCUAUGAGAAUAAAUCCUUGAGGAUCUUGAGAUUGUCAGGGGUGGAAAUACACGCCCUACCAAGGCUUCCUGAAAGUCUCAUCAAAUUAGAACUGGAGGAGUUGAGGGUGGACACGUUUCCGGAUCUCUCAAAUCUCACUAACUUAAAGGUAUUGCAUUUUGGCCUUGGCCCACCUAAUUGUGAUGGGAAAGCUUAUGGGCUUCUGGAAGAACCGAUACCGCGGUGGAUUGGGAACUUAAGCAAAUUGGAAUCUCUGAAACUCUUGUAUUUAUGGGGGAGCGCCUCAUCGAUGGACCUCAGCCUCCCUCCUCAUCCGCAUCGCCUCCCGAGGCUUCCCUCAAAUUUGUCCUCCUUACAUCUCCGUGGUUGCAACUCACUUUGCUCAAUGGAUCUAUCGAAUUUGAGGAAACUAUCGUCUCUCUUGAUUUGGUGCUCUGCAGUUGCAAAGAUUGAAGGCCUUGGUUGUUUGGAGAACCUUCGAGAUUUGGACCUUCACUGCGUCGGACAACUAACAAUGCUACCUGAUCUGAGCAAGUUAAACAAGCUAAGGAGUAUUCUAUUAUGGAGUUGCGGUAAUCUGGUGGAGAUUCAGGGCGAACUACCUCAAUCUUUGGAAUUGGAAUACUUGCAUAUUGAAUCCUGUGAAUAUUUACAGAAGUUGCCUGAUCUAUCAAGCUUGAAGGGACUGCGAGUGGUUGAAAUAAGAAGUUGUGGGAAAUUAGCGGUGGAGGAAAUUUCUCAGCUUUGCUCGGAGAAGUCAAUCCGAUUUGUGGGCGACGAAGCAGACAUAGUACUGGAUUGGGCAUGUAUACGAACAUAUAAAGGAGGACGAUGGGCAAGAUGAUGAAUAAGUGCACGUUGCACUUGGAAGCUUUUUGAUGCACGACCACAAAUUGUUCCCUUGUGUUCAAACCUUAAACGAAUUGAGGUAAGUACUUAAUGUUUUCCUUUUUUGGCAAUCAAAUUCUUUCACAGAUAUGAACAGAGAAGUUUUGCACGCACUUUUUAAUGACCUUUUAGCAGAUUCUUGUCUGAAAAUCUGAUGAAGGUAUUUAAAUUAUGAUGCCUCCGAAAAGCCAGAGGGCUCUUAAUUAUGCACAAGUAUUUGUGUUCUUUUCCUAGUUUGGUUUGGCUUUUUCAGCUACAUUUUCUUAGGAUGGCUUCUCCUAGAGGUAUGCAUGUCGAUUGCAUCAUUUUUAUUUGAUAUGUAACAAAUUAUUAGAGAUCGUUGUUGAUUUGCUGCUUCACACAUAUUUUGAAAUUGAUAACCUCACUUCGCAUGGGAGAUAAAUUCACUAUGCUGUAAACAAAUAGAUGGAAUGUGUGUUGGAAGGUCAUACAACUGUGGUUCUCAUCCUGGGACUUUACAGCACAAUCAACUCAUUGUUGUGACUUUGAAGUAGACAGACACUCUGUAUUGCCAUGCUUAAGUUUAGCUUAUUUUUCAGGAAAGGUGUGCUUCUUAGUGGGAUUUGCAAAUGUUAUGGAGAAGUCAUAAAUGAGGGAGCCACCGCAAUUCUGAGAUUACCAGUGUGGCAGCACUGGCUAAAGCAGCAGCACCAGAAUAUUUUAUCUCAGCAAUGAUGCCUUCAAUCAUAGCAAUCUUUGACGGGCACACUGACAAAAAUCAUUAUGUGCAGCAAUCAUCACCAACAGGAGUAACUGAGAGAAUGCAGCAUUUGCUGUACCAGUAGAGAAGGAGCGCCCUUUUGUUGAGACUUGAGAAUUGCACUCACUUACAAAAGAUUGGUAAGAAAAAGAGGGCACCUUCCCUUGGGGCUGCCUUCAGUAAUAGAACUGUGCAUUCUGAAGCAAUAUUGGCAUUGUUUCUGUCAUGAGAUCCACUCAAUUCCAGGAAAACACUGGCACUGCCACCAAAGUCGGUUAUGCGUCAUAUGCUACUCGCCACCUCAGAAGAACUUUCAUCAAGUAGUGGUGGCUCUUCCACGUACGCAGAACCUUUCAUAGAACCUAGUGAUCAUAAAAAAAGAGCUUUACACAAGCCAAGCGUCAAUUUGAGAAAUUCUUCCAUAUUCUUCGCAUGUACAAACUCCAAAAGGAUUCCAAUCCGCCAUACUACUUUCAGUUGAGAAAGCAACUUGGGAUCCAUUUCUGGAGCCGAUGCCAGAGCCACGCGCAGCUCAACAUCAUUCACAUUUGCACAGGACAGAUCACCAAGUGAAAAUCUAAAGCAGUGGCUGACUGUCUUUGGUUGUAGAUCUCAGAAAUUUUAGUCAAGUUGAACUCUAUGAGCAUCAGGAGGAGCUUCUGCACGCACAUUGGUAUCGGGGUCCUCAUCCUCAUUCAAGGUCGGUCAAAGAGGGAGAAAUUGCAUCUAGGAUAUGGAUUUCAAGCCUGGCAGCUUAUGCUCUAACUCUGGAGUUUUUAUUAGGAAAACGAACAUUGCAUCAAACGGAAUCUUGAGGGACAGAAAUCUGGCAUCACCAUCCUUGUUGCCCUUAUACAGAACAUCCAGACUCAGCAGAAUCCCACAGAUGAAUACGUCAGAGCUUUCAAGAAUCCAGUAUGACUCCUCUAUGAUGGACUCAACGCUUGCAUUUUGAGCCGGCAAUGCAGGUUCUAGGAACGGAUCAACGUUGUGCUCUAUUUUCCUUGUUCAAUCCUGAACUUCUCUUGGAUUGUGUUUGUAAUUAGUGUGAUGAAUUCUGCUUCGUGUGAGUGUGAACCAUCUAAGUUUUGCCUGUCCAGUGUUUGGUGAUCAUGUGCAAUUUGGUGUUUGAUGAAAUGAGCUAUGUGCUUGAGAUUGCGUGUGCUGGAUUGUCACCUUCAAAGCACUUGAAGCUGAAGCGCAAGGUCUAUUGCAAUGGCUUCCUCUCUUUCCUAUAUCCACCAGCAAGGUACCUUCGCUUUCACUACUAAUCUCUACUGCUGAUGUCCAGCUCAACCCGAUCAGCAAUUUAGUUGCCUUUGAUUGGGCUAGGACAUGAUUCAGUUUGAUUGGCUAAUCUAUGUCAAAAUGGCAGUGGCUAUUGAAUUAUUACCGUUUUCUCCCAAAUUUAGCUUGCUCAAUCGAACUGAACAGCAGCAGCUUGAUGCUGCGUAGGAUUUCAUUUUUUUCUAUCAUCAUGAAUUGUUCUGUUCUGUGCUUCUGGUUGUAAUACUUGCCGUGAUUGAGCUUGUUUUGAGUAGAUUAGUCCAUGCUGUGAUUGAUGGUCGGAUAAUGCUGUAUCAUGGUAGUGAGCAGCAGUUGGAAUGCAGGAUUUUGAAGAAUGAUGAAGUUAUUUGUUCCGGUGAGUCACUGAUUUCAAUGCUUAUUUGGUUGAUGUUGGAGAGCCUGAAGGAGGACAAAAGCCUCUAGAUGAUACUUAUAUUUACAGCAUGAUUAUUGUUUGGCAAUUGGAUUUAUAUCUGCCGAGGGUAUUCCUUGCUUGUCUUCUUCAUAGUUGUUUUGUUGGUUCAAAUCAUCAGUAGGUGCAAUGUGAUGAAUGUGAAGUUCUUGGGUUUGGUUUGUUAAAAGUCCAAAUGGGUAUAUUUUACUUAUUGUUUGUCUUCGAAAAAAGAGCGUUGCUUGCAUACAAAUACGCAUAGACCCUCCUUUGUGAUGCUUUUCCUGUUGUUCGUCUGGGAAAUUAAAUGUUUGUUCUUUUGCUUGCUUCAAACACCUACUUGGGUACGGUUCAUGUAUUGAUUGAUUCAGAAUCUAGAUGUAAACAUUUGCAAUUGAUCUACUGUUGCUUUUGUUCAAUGUGCAACUGAUCUUUUGAAACUCCAUUUUUUUUGUUAAAGUUUUUCCUUUUGUUAACCUUACUUUCAAUUGAUGCAGAGCUUUGGUUGAGUUUCUGGAUAUGAGGUUCACUAUAAUCCCCUCUCUGAAUUACGAGGUGUGUUUUCCUUUUAGCUACUUAAAUCCUUUGGCAUGGAAUCUACAGUUGUAUUGCCUACAUGACUUUUCAUUUUCUGCAGAUGCUCCUAAUUCCUCAGAAACCGAAAAAGAAACAUUGGUUAUUUUAGAAGAAACUGGUCGCUUAUGAUGUUGCAACCUGCCUGAAAUGGGAACCAAAUUGAUUCUACAUGUAUAGAUUCUACAUCCCAAAUAGCACAGCUUGCUUUACAAUGCCUCCAACUGACUCCUCACGAGCAGCCUUCGAGGACUUAGUGGAAGAACUGGAAUCAGUAGACACUGGCAUCGCUAAUAGAAUAGAACGGGAUAGUUAAAUUCACCUAUUAUGUCAUUCUUACUUCAUGUGAUGUAAGUCAAAGUCUGUUGUUCCACACUUUUCCAUUUUUCCCCGGAAUAAUCCUGGGCUUUGAAUGUUCAUUUCUAUUGUACCCAGCAGUUACUAGGAGUUGUCUUCUAUUGUAAGUUCUUUAUAAUAUCCAUGACAUGUAUAUUAAUACAUGCAGUGCUUUGUGAAUUGAGAUGUGAUUGUACUUAUGUUUAUGAGAGGAACGGUUCUUUAAGGCUAAUCCUCGAUCUUGUUGGCAAUCUGAGGUCCAUAGAAGAAGUCCAUUGCUCUUCAAGAGUCCGAGCUCUUUAAUUUUCUUGCAUGCUUAGGCUUUGAACAUGCGCAAGAGCUCAUUUGGUUGCCAUCACGAAUGUGUUUAUGUGGUGCUUGCUCUGCAAUCAAUCUCCAGGAAGAGCUAGGCGGUUCAGUCCAUUCUCAUAGUAUUUUUGAGCUAUGAGACAUGGUUGCGGAAAUUGAUGGAGUCAUUUAAGGCAAAGUGCUGCUCAGUUGUCCAUUCAGAAAGAGCAAGAUAUGACUUUUGGUGCUGUCAUGUUGCAGCUAAGACAUGUCUGAUUGUUUUGUGUUGAUAAGAGACAUUUCUUAUAAUAUGCUAGUUUUGGAUAAGACUUUCCAUAUGACAUUAUAAAUGACUAAAUUUUAUUUUUAUAUUCUCAGUAACUUAGCCCAUUGGUUAUUGUCGUCUCUUCACUGUUUGUAAAUCUGAGGGCCCUAUUAUUUUCGACACCUCUCAUGUAAUUUUUUUUUUUUUGAACUUGUUGAUAUGUCUCUUUUACAUCACUCUCAACGUAAAAAUAUAAAAGUUUCCAUCAUUUUUCUUUUUAAUUUUAUACAAAUUAAAACAAAUAAAUUGAUUACACUAAAGAACUUUCUAAAUAUAUGUUUAUCAAAUAGUAUUUUCCCAAUGUUACUUCUCAAGUCAUUUUAAAUUGCAAAUUACCAAACAAUCUUUGCAUUUCACAGAACUCCUUUAGGCUAAGGGCCUUUACAUUAGCCAAAAGCUUUCCCCAAAAGUCAAAGCAAACGCAUGAAAUUGAGCUUUAUGCAGACCUUUUGCUUGAUUGUUGUUGCCCUGCUAUGUGACCCGCUGUUUCGUGUAAAUCAGCGAUAUAGCCGUCGUCGUCAUGGCUCAAGUGCUCUUGGAGAUCCGGCCUCAUGAAGUCAAGUUUAUCUGUGAGUGUAUAUAGUGCUGUGCGUUUGGUUCAUUUUUAUUUUGGAGCUACAUUCAAUUUGCGUUGCUUGCCUCCUGUUUUUCUAGGCAAUUAGUGAAGGGGAUGAUAUUUCUUUGUUCUACAAUAAUUUGCUUGAGAAUUUGUGGUUCAACAUCGUAAAUAAUGGUAAAAGAAAUAUCUUAAAUAAGAGCUUCGAUGGCAAGUAUGAAUCGGUUAUUGGUCGCCCUGUUUUUCAAAUUCUUUUCCUUGUGUUGUUUUCAAAUUUUUGGUUAGGUUCUUUCUUUUUGCAUAGUUUCUAUCCUCGCACCACAAACUCUUAGAAUGCCUUGUGAGGUGAAUUUCUUUCCCGAGAUAAAGUAAGUGAGUGUUGUAACCAAAUGACUGAGAAUGAUCGGUAGAGAAAACCAACACGCAAAAUGAGAUUUCGUUGCUGCAUUAUGGCUUCAAAGAAAAUGUAUGAUGGUCCAUUUCAUCACAUCCUACUCUCAUGUCAUGCCCCGUUAAGUUCUUUUAUCUGAAGCCUCUUCUCCAUGUUUAUGCAGUUGAGUUGAGUAAACAAAGCUCAUGCUUGAUUCCGCUACCCAACAAGACUGAUUGGUAUGUUGCUUUCAAGGUGAGGAGUUUUUGCACCUUUUCAUUCAUCAUGAUCGUGCUUUACUUUUUUUAAGGUAUGGCGGGCGAACAAUUUUCUUUCAAUUCUGUAUUCUCUUGAUGUAGUUUAAAUUUCAGAGUAGGACAUCAAUGCAUUAAAAGCUCUCUACUAUGGAGAAACAUUAUGAGCUUUAUACUGGAUAUCCAAAACAUUCCAGGUUAAGUCUACAUCUUUGAAGAAAUACUGUGUGCGACCAAAUGUAGGCAUCAUCAAGCCAAAUGGAGCAUCUGAUUCAAAAUUGUGCUGCUCAAGUCCAAGGAACAUCUUGUUCACAUACUUAUUAAAGCCACUAACAUACUUGUGAGGAGGGACACGCCUACAGUACCUAAAUCAGCUAAAUAAUUCUUUUGCAAUUUCUUUGCCAUGACAUGUCAAUUGGACUUUAUUAUUGUUGGGUUACAAACUACUUAAGGUAGAGUCAGUCUAAUUGCAGCAAGGAUCAUCUUUGAAUAAGAUUUUGAAUGCCUAUCAUAGUAGCCUAAUAUACAUCGAGAAAAGGAAAACCACGAUAGGCCUCAGAAGCUAUGUCCCGAUACUCCAAAAGAAUUGGAGUUGGCCUUUCAUCCUAUCUUCUGUUUGAUGUAAUUACCAUGUAAGCACGACAGGUAGCUCCAACUAUCCUGUAGUGCAGAGAUAAUUUUUUGAUACAGGUGAAGAGGACUACUGACAUGGUAGGUUUUGCUGCUAUAUGCCCCAUAAUCUUCCAGGUCAAGUAACUUGAGAAAUUUUCUUUUAAAUUUUCAAAUUGAUAAAGAAAGUGGUAAAUACAUAGAUGAGAGGAAGAUAAAAGCAGUUCUAACCAGUCCAGUGGAAUCACUAUCAGUGCUGCCAGAUUGUUGAGAUCGGAAGCAAGAUUCAUCUUCCAAGACUACCAUCCCAAAGGAUAUCUCACCUGUUGGAGUCGAAAAUGCGUCACCUUUUCUCAAGGUAUUACUGCCAAAAAACAUCAAUAUGUCACUUUAUUGUCUUUCUGGAUUGAGAUGGCAUUUUAUCUAAUACAUGUAUCGGGGCUUUGCCACAGCCUUGGCUAGGCCGUAUGUUAUUUAUUUGUGAAUGGAAAUCAAGUUGCUGCACAUCAUCUAUAAAUUGAUUUACCUUUUUAGCAACUAAAUGCGAGUGUAUGGGAUAUCUUUUUUCUCGUAUUAACUGUACGUGAAUCCAUUUCUAUGUCUCAGGAAAGAUUGGAAAUCAUAGAAUAUGACUUCUGUUCUUACUCUUAUAUUCCAGAAGGAUUGUCUUUUGAUGCCAGGAUCCUGAAGGGUGGACGUGUCAGAGGUUUUAAGGAGUUAAAAUCAACACUCAACGAGGUGAUACAAAGUUGAAAGAGGUUAGUUUUCUUCCCUUGGUUGAUUUGAAUUCGGGUCUACUUUCACCAGUCAAAUCACUGGGAGGACGGUUUCCCUUCCACUACACAAGCCACCCUUGAUUGCCCAUUUUAUGCAGAUGAGGAUAGACAGAAGAGGGGAAGAAUUAUUAAAAGGAAGAAAAGAAAAUUUAUAAAAGGCAUAGGUGUUGAGUUGGGAGAAUUGCAAAUUCAGUCAUAAAUUUAUUUGUACGAAUAAUCAAAUAAUGGAAAACAUGUUUGCUCUCAUAUUCUUGGUUCACUGCUACUACUGACACAUUGGUUCUUACGAAUUUCUGGCGCUGCAUGUAUUGAAGAUUACGUUUUUGUUUACUGAGUAAAAUGGCACGAAAUUGUUAUUGCCAAGUCAGAGUCGACCCGACUAUCACUAGGGACUACUCGAGUUUGGUACUACUGCUGAUGCUACUGCUAUGUUAGUGUUGUGUCUUGGAGAGGUGGUUAGAGAUAAUUUAGGCUUGCUGACUUGGGGUCUUUCUUGUGAUUUCUCUCGGGUUGUCCGAGUCAUGGCAUAUCCCUUAGCUGAUAUUAUUGUCAUAUCUUUCGUUGUGAACUUGCACUGGAGUUUGAUUUUCUCAUUGUUGGGAUCCAUCAAAAGGAAGAUUCUGUCCUGUAAGAUACUUCCUUGAAGAUUAAGAUUUCACUGCCUUAAAUUAGUUUUUUUGUGUUACAAAACUCUUGAAAUAGUAUAUUUGUAUUAUAUUUACCUCCAAAUUAAUUUUCGUGUAACUAGCCUAACGUGACUCAUGAGAUUAUCUGUUCAGCCCCGUCCCCGAACCAUGGGAAGAAAAAUACAGGAAUUUUGGAGAAAAAGAUGGGGGUUUUUAGAGUGAAACAUGUUAGCCAAUCUACAUAAGUUACAGUAGACCAAAAAAUUAGAGACUCCGAGAAGUUAUCAAAUGUGCCGUCGUUGCGGUGCUAGUCAGAGAUUAUCUUCAGAUCGGGCUGCCCUCGGGGGGAGAAGAGGCCGAUGGGCGAUCUUAAGAUUCUGUUUUCAUUCUUGCAUACAGUGAAAUCACUGCUGAAGGAUGAAGGGUAACAAAACUCGAUCCUUGAUUUUGUGAUAAAAAGGUCAUCAUCGCCUAUUCUUUACAAUCUGGUCCUUUUCCUUUGUCUCAAUCAACCUUGUGUCGACCUCUUGAUAAAUAUAAAGCACAAGAGGUGUGCAAUUAUGUUACUGAAAAGCUAGAAUUCUGCUUUCCAGUGCUUGAACCACUUAAGUGACGAUGCCUUGCUUUUUGUCUUAAUGCAGUUAGCUGGUGUCUCCCCUGAUCCAGAAUGAGUUGGGUUCAUCCUCUAACCUCAGUGGUUGAUUAUGUAGUUACUUUUAGUUGUUGGAAGCCCCAUCAGCAACAUCAUUUGAUUUUAUAACCCUCUUUUUAUGGGUUUAUGAAUCUGCAACCUUAGUCAAUUGAGCUCUUAUUUGAUUGAGCUCAUGUGUGAAUGUCUGAUGCAAUUAGCUCAACAGAUGGUGCAUGAUCACAUCAUCCUAUUAUCCAAUAUCUAUCUUUUGCUCAACUAGAGGGUGUGACAGUUGUUGUCAUGCUUGGUGCAUAUUGUUCCUAGGUUUCAUCUUCCAGUGCAUUGUUAUUGAAGAACCUGUCUUGGCUUGUUUUAGUGUUCUACAGUUUUUGGCCGUUGACUGCAUAAUAAUAUCUGUAUUUCCCCCCACAGAAUAUGGUAUCUUCUUGGUGGCCUGCUAUUUGACUACCCUCUCUGUUUUAUAGUACAUUCUCAACGUAAAUGCAGAAGGGUGUGUUCCCAAUAUCCACUUUGUAAAAGAUCAAAGAAUUCCACUUAUGUACUUGUUGCUCUUUGCUUGAAAAAAUUCUACUUCAUUAUGCAGUAUGGUUCUGGUACCGAGACAUCAGGCCAAAGAUGUGCACUGUACUGCAUACAGCUAGAUGAAUAAUGGACGUAUUUUGCUCCAAGAGAUUUCAAUUUUCCACCCAAGUAGCUGUAGUUGCUGCAUGUUGCGAAAAGAUCCAUGCCCAAAGCGAACUCACUUGUUUUGACCAUGCCCGGUUUUUUGUCGUUCAUGCUUUCAAAGUGGUUGGCUAUUUGGGUGGAGUGCUGUUUCUUGUUUUUGCGGUAGUGACAUUCAUCGGAGUUUUCUAGAGGUUUUCAAUCUGCUGAAAGAGUGGGCUCUGAGCUCGUGAGGUGUGAUAUUGCUUGCGGACUUUGGUUAGAGCGACAAGAUCUAAAUAGGCUGGAAAUAAGGUGCUGAAGAUUCACCAUAGGCCUCUUCUUUAUCGCUUGUUUUCAUGUAUAUUCACAACUGCAAACGAGGUUGACUUGAGGCAUGUGAAAUAAGAGUAAAUGCUGAGAACUUUGUCUAGGCAUUGGUGCAAUUUUCUUAUUUGAAGCUUUAUUGGCCAUCGAAUCUCAUCAUCAUGAACAAGUUUGCAGUUUCAUUCCGAUUUUGAUUAGUUCCAACACAUGGUCCAAGACUCUUAUAAAUGCUAUGUAUCAGAAUUCUCCAAGUUGGAUCUAAAGUUACAUACAUAACAUGAUGUUUUUGUUCUGAGAUACUAAUAUUAAAAGACAGCUUGUUAUAAGUAUGUCGAUAUUUUCCCGUGACUAGUAUGGUUCUUUUUCAUUCUUUCACCCAUUUCACCGUAACACAUGGUGCUACAACAAUCAUACCCUCAAGAACAACGUAGGUUGGGUUGGGAAAACAGUUAUAUCUCGGUAAUUGGAAGAUUAAUGUGGGACUAGCCAAACAGGGGAUCAUGAUUUUCCCUAGAUAAGAUGGAUACUCCCGAGGUGGUCAUUUAGUUAAUUUCAUUGUGGAGACCAAAUGGAAGAGGGAUUGAGUAUGUAGGGGAUGAGUGGAAGAAGAAUUCACCAAUUCAAUUAAGAGUGACUUCAAGCUAUAUGGUGUUUCCUUGAUUAGUUUUUUAUUCAUAAAGUUAGUCUACACAAAAAGGCAAUUUGAUUUGACUUCAGGCUAUUAUUCUAGUUGCAAUUUGAUUCAGCAAAUAAAAUGCAUACAUUGCAGUCAAUCCUACAAAAUUUAUUUUGACAUAUCCUCCAGAAUCAAUGCCUCUUUGCCAAUUUGCAUUGCCAUUCUCCUAAAAAUAAUGACAGGUCUGCUAGGGUAGGAGCUCAUCACUUCUCACAAAUUCUUCGUUAGGCUAGUUAGGCUAGUAAUACUUGCUGAAUAAUGUGUAAAAAUCACAAUGAUUAAAAAUGAAAAUUACUAGAUUUCAUUUUGGAGUAGUGAUUGAGAAAUCAAACUCAAACUCUCGGCCUCUAUUCCAACCUUCUCAAUUAAAGAAUGGCUAGUAAGAAUGUUGGGACUUGAUUUUGUUGUUUUACUUCUCUUUUGGGCAAAUUUAAAGAAUCUCUUAACGAUUAUGCAUUUAAAAGUGGUGUUACGAGUAAGGUGUCGCAUUCGCUUUAAAUUAGUUUUUUGUGUUACAAAACUCGCAAAACAAUAUAUUUGUGUAACAUUUAUCCUCAAAUUAAUUUUCGUUUAACUAGCCUAACGGGAUUCGUGAGAUUAUCUCUUCGGCUGUCCCCCAACCAUGGGAAGAAAAGGACUAGAUUUUGGAGAAAGAGACGAGGUUUUCAGAGCGAAACACACUUGCCAACCUACUUCAGACCCAAAAAAGAAAAAGCACACUUGCCAAUCUACGUUUGUUUUUUUUUGUUUUUUUUUUUUUUUGAGCAAGAGUCUAUCUACGUUAGUUAAAAGAGGACCAAAAUAUUAGGAAAUUCCGAAAAAAAUUCAGAUGCGCCGGCGCCGUGGAGGUAGUCGGAGAUUAUCUCUUCGGAUUGGGCGCGUCGACGGGCGACAAGACGCCGACGGGACGGCGGUGUGAGGUGGCGGAGCUCGGCGGCCUUCUUGAAGAGACCCUUUGCGCCUCUUCGGGUAGGCCACGAUUCCCUCGGCCGAAGAGAUAAUCUCUGACUACUUCCGCGGCGGCGGCGACGGCGACGUGGUGCCGCCGAUGGGUGUGACUGGAUUGAGGUUGAGUGGGAUUCUUGCGCGACGGAGGAGGACGUGGAGUCCCGGAUCGGCGAAGGAUGACGCCGUUCGUGAUUUUGUACGCAAAGAAAUUGGAAAGAUUUGGGAAGAAUUCGUCUGCGAUGAUCGGUGCUGGCGAAGAUUCCGGAGCUGGGUUUGGUUGUAAUUCUGAAAUUUCGGCCGAUCAAGAGAUGGGUUCCGUUUUCGAGAGCUUCAAGGCUCGUUGCCAGGCUCUCUUCGCGGACUUGCGUUGGAGAUGGCGACGGCUUCUUGACUUCGCCGGAUAACUCGGCCAUCGACGGUGGAGGCUUGGGAGAGGAGUCGACGCUCUGCGAUGAGGGCUAUGGAUAUAAUCCCGACCCACUUUCUUACACUUGAAGAUUUGGAUGUUCUUCUGUGAUGUAAAUGUGAAAUGCAUGUGAUUGUUCUUAUUAAACUGCACCGUGCAGAAUACAUGGGGGUGGUCGUGUUCAAAUUCGUCACUUUUCGGAUGAGAAAAGCAUCAUUUAGUCAGUUGUUUCGUGGGUGAAUUGGGGAUAGAGGGGAUUCAUGAUUUCAGUGGUAUGUCUCUUUUGCUAGACUGUGAAAGAGACUAGCUUUGAUUUAGACUGUCUCAGUAUGGGGAUGAAUUGACUGUCGGGGGUGAUGAAUGGUGGUGCCAGUGAAUGUGAAGCUUUCCACUGUCUGUGGAGUACUAUUGCUCUUUAGAUCGGAUAGUUUAUGCAACUAAUUAUCUGUCCAUUGAUGACUUCUGCGGGGGGAAACUCAGAAAAUAGUUAUAGAGAUGUGGUUUUUAAACUGAACUUACAACUGUGAUGCACGUCUUGAGGUAACAUCGGGCAGUUUGUUCUGCGUCUGCUUCAUAUCUUUCGGGUCGUAGGAAAAGGUAAAAUUUCUGAAGGAACACAAUUAAAAGCAGUGAUUUGGAAGUCCUGUUAUAUGCAGUUCCUUUCUUAUCCUUCUCAAUGGACUUUGGUAUGGACAAAAAUUUGGGAGAAUAUUGUUUGCUUGCCUUACCUUUAUCAUAAUUAUCUAUACUCCUGUAAGCAUCUUAAUGAUGAAGAUCGUCAUAUACUUUACCAUGCCAUUGGUUGCUCAUUACACUAUUAAGGGGUCUGUCUUUCAAGGGAUCAACCCAGUUCCAUCAUCAAAGGCAUUGUAUUGGAAGGCAGAUUGUGGUGGUUGUAUCUUGCAGAUGAUAAAGUGACUGUAUUGGAGUCAGAGAAGCGGACUUGGGAGAAUCUGCUAGAAGCUCAGGCUAUCGGAUAAGCUGUAAAUCCUUGGAGAAAUCAUGAUGCAGAAGCAAAAAAUAAUUCAUAGUGCCACCAUUGUUGAGUUUGUACCUGGUAUGAUUUCUUCUCGAAUGCUCUCAUUCAACAAGGAGAGAACUUUUUGUAAACCAUGCUCUUUGAUGGAGAAGUUUGAUAGCAUUCAGAACAAAUAGGUCUAGGUGGUGGAGCUAUUUUGCUUAACUCCUUUUAGUUAAUGUGUAAUCCAUGUAUUUUAUGAGACAUUUUGGCAAUAGGUCCUAAUGCCUCUGGCUAUAAGACUUGUGCAUUAUAAUUGAUGGGAUGAUCACACAUUAGUUUAUUGGAUUAUGUUUUAUUCUUUUCGCCCUUAUAAGUUGGCAAAGAGUAUCUAAAAUUGGAUGACCAUACGUACUGAUGCUGGAAGCUGUGAGUGAACUUUUAAACAACUGAGGUCAUGUUUUGGAUGCUUGAAUAUUGUCUGCAGUACGCCAGACACAUAUCUGCACAUUGCUUCUCUGUCCUGGAAUGAAUUUGGAAUACCCUGAAAUGUUUUGAGGCGAUUUUGUAUUUGGCUGCUUGGCAAUUAAUCUCCUGUUCAGUGAGUGAGAUUUUCCUGUAUGUGAGUUUUGGAAAUUCUACGUUUUCUUGGCAUUGUUCUGUAUGUGCUUCCCUGAUCAUCGCCCAAUGGUCUGUUUAGAGUUGGC
rnacentral:lncRNA from 1 species